rnacentral:lncRNA from 1 species
UUUUUUUUUUGGUAAAUGCACCGUAACUCCGUAACUCCAUUCGGGGCCUUAGGCACUUAUUAAAUACUUAAAUGCUAUUACUAAAAGCUUUAUUAAAUGAAGUACUUUUUAGUAAUUAACGUAUCUCGAAUGUAACUCUUAUUUUAUUUUCCAAACUAGCCCCCAUACACUGCAUCAUAUUUAUUUGAUUAUUCGUCCACCCCAUAACCAUUUUUUAAUUCAUUUGUGCUACUCUUCUUUACUUUGUAAAAGAUAUAUUGUAAUAAUUUGAUGUAUGUGAAGUAAAAAAAUAAUUCGAAAAUGUGUUCACGAAAAACACCAAUCCAGACAAGGCGAUGAGAGUGUUUGGAUAGCAAAUUAUUUCAAAUAAUAUUUUGAUUGCAUCGUACACACAGUUUACAACUCACUUUUUUAUAUCACAUUACAAAAAGUAUUACAGUAAUUAUUCUAAAUAACGUUUCAAAUAAUACUGUAUCUAAACACACUUAUGCUAUAUAAUUGACAAAAAAAAUUGUUUAAGUCCUUGGUCUAUAGGUAACUAGGCAUGCAUGCUGUUGAUGGGCGGUUUAUGCUUCCUAGUGUAAAGACACAUCACACAUCAGUCAUGAAUCCCCGUGGGGCGGUUUGUGCUUGCUUCCUAGUGUAAAGACACAUCACACAUCAGUCAUGACUUCCCGUGGGGCUUCAAAUCCUCAGUUCGCCAUGCAUCACUUAAACAAGAAAAAUGAAGCUUGGCUAUUCUUCACGUGUUUAUGUGAGAGAAAUUGAUGUAAGUGGCUCAUAAACUCUCUUCUCCCAAAUUCCCCUCUUUUCUUCUUCUUCUUCUUUUCCCUUUCUUUUUAAGUAAUGAUAAAAGUGCAUAAAACAAAAAUAAGUUAAGCAGUUUACAAACCGAGGCAAAACAAACCCUUUACAAUCAUAAUCUAAAAUGUUAGAAAAUGCUAAUGGGAGGGAACCUGGGAGCAACUGGGAGGAUGGGAGAAACGAUAUAAUAAUAGGAGGGAAUUCGUCUAUUGUUGGAAUCCCAACUUAACACGUAUGGAGCUUAUCAAUGUAGGGUAGUUGCAUUCCAAAUUCGAUUCAUUUUAGUGUAAAUGUUUCAAAUUGGACUCGUAUGUCGGACAGAUCUUACACUUGAUCUUUCAGAUUCAAGUCAAAUGGGUCCAUGUACGACUCGGAUCAAAUACGAAUCAAAUUUUAUAAUUCUGUAUAAUAAGUAUUAUCAUAUUAACAAUUAUAUAUAGUUUAUAAUUAUCAAUUUUAGGGGUGGCAAUUCCUGACACGACCCGAAAAUACGACACGAACCUAACACGAAAUUAAUGGGUUUGGGUUGAGAUUUUGGGAGUUCGGGUCAGAAUCGGGUCGAACCCGAUGAACCCGAAAAAAAAACAGGUCAAUUUCGGGUCAACCCGUGGUGACCUGAUAUGACCCGAUGUGACCCGUUUAUGAAUUAAAACUAAUUUAAUAAACAUAAAAAUUAUUUUAUCUAACUAAACUAAAUCAUUCUUUUUUUCCAAAGGCAUUAAUUACUUGAUCCUAAUUGAAUUUAUUUAACCUGUGUGAAGUUAAAAUUAUUAUAUUUGGACAAAUAAUAUUUUAUGUUAUUUUUUACUUUUAUGUUGUUUUAAUUUAUUUUAUAUUUGGUUUGGGAUAAAACACUUUUAUGGUGUUUAAUUUAUUUUAGAUUUGGUUUGAAAUUAUUUAUUUAAAAUUUUAUUACUUGAUGAUGUAAUUAAUUUUGUGAAAAAUUGAUUUUAUUAGAAAUUACAGUGAUAAAUUAAUAAAUUAAAAUUAAGUUUCGGGUCAUUUCGGGUCGACCCGCCAACCCGCCAACCAGAAAUUUUCGGGUUCGUGUCAGGUACCCUGACCCGUUUCGGGUUGGCGGGUCGGGUUCGGGUCAGCAGGUUCUUUGUUAUACUUAGGCUCAACCCGACCCGCCAACCCGAACCCGACCCGUUUGCCACCCCUAAUCAAUUUAUUUAAACAUGUUCGAAUCUAACAUGAGCUAAAAUGUAAUAUUCCGUACUCGACCUGUUUUUUUUAUUAAAAAAAGAUGUCCGAGCCCAGAUCGGAUAAACGAAAUUACAUUUGUACCUAUUCUCGAAAAAAAUUAGCAGGUCUAGGUCGGAUUUGAAGACCAGACCGUUGACAGGCCUAAUGCCGACCGAGGAUUUGAAGCCCCAUGGAGCCAUGACGGAUGUGUCUUCUAAAGUCACGCACAAGAACCCUACUACUAUCAAAUGGUUUCUCCUUGCCUCCCACUUGCUCCCUCCCAUUGGCGACAUAUGUUCGGUAGGGCCCUGCAAUGACUGGACACAAUUAGAACGAGUUAAGACUUUGGCGGACUUAGGUCAUUCAAUUCAAAUCACUUGACUCACAAGAGUCAAUGCCGCAGGUUAACUACGGGAUUAGCUCAUGCUAAAUUGAGCCACUAAUUGUAAAUUGUAAUUAUGCGGUUGUAUGGAUUUUUUGGUGUAGCAUUUAACAAAAUAUGAUGUAUUUUAAGUUAAAAAAAAGUUGUUGGAAAAUGUUAUAAAACAAUACUUUCGAAAAACUCAAUAUUUUUUUCACCAAAUGUUUGGAUUGAAGUUUUUUCCAGAAAAAAUUUGACAUUUUUUGUGAUCACAAUUUUUAAUUAUCUUUUUGCCUCACAUAUAUCAAAUCGCUAUUAUAAUUUUUCUACAAAAAACUCUAGAAAAUAGCAAUCCAAAUGGGCAAAAUUCUCAAAAUUUUGGCAGUCAAAUCAACUCAAAACAAAAUAUGAUGUAUUUUAAGUUAAAAAAAGUUGUUGGAAGAUGUUUUAGAAGUAUACUUUUGAAAAACUCAAGAUUUUUUUUGCCAAAAAUUUUAAUUGCUAGCCCGAAUUCUCAAAGUUCUGAUAUGCACUAGAAGGAACCAGGCUGUGUAAGCACAACUUAGGCCCACUUAUAAAAUUUUGGUUAAAAUUCAUCACACUAUAAUUUGCUUUCAAACAAAGAGCAAUUAUAAAUUUAUAAUUGCCAAAAAAUGAGCCUAAAAAUAAAGUUUAUUUUUAGUGGAAUGUUCCAAAAGUUUGCUCCAACUUGCUUAUUGUGAUGCAGUUGAGAUUUAUCUGAGAAAUGCAAAAUCAGUUUAAUAUUAACAUAAAUGAUAUAUGCUUCAUAAAGCUCAAAUAUCAUACUAUUAUAUUUACAAAUGUAUAAAAUUUCACCACUAUUUCUUUCUCAAACAAGACACCAUUAUGUAAAAACUUUCACCCUACAAAAUCACAACAAAACUUGAAAGAAAUUCGAAUGGAAGGCUUUUCAAUAAAUAAAAAGGGUACAGAAAUUCAGUAACAAAGAAAUACUAAAGGAAGUGCAUUAAAGAGGAACUAAAACAUUAGAAUUACAAAAUACAAAUUUUGUGGAAUUAAAGGCACUUCUAUAUGGUGUUCGGUUGGCUCUUGCUCGGGGUUAUCUUGACUUGCACUUAGAAUCUGAUUCUUUGGUGCUGGUUUAGAUUAUUCAAGGAAAAGUGAGGUGUCCAUGGAAGUUGCAAGGGGAUCUACAGGAACUGUUACGAGCUAGAAGCUGUAUUAGAGAGAUAUCACAUUGCUUUCAGGAAGCGGAUAAACCUGCGGAUAGACUGUCAAAUGUUGGAGUGGAUACUGGAGUAUCUUCGACCUAUGAGUCUUUCAGUGAGUUGCCUCGUCUGGUGAGAGGUGAUCUUGCACUAGAUCGGUUGGGGCUUCCGAACUUUCGUAGCAGCAUAGCUUAGUUAGCUAGUAGGUAGCAGUUCUCUGUGAUUCUUCCGUUAUGCUUUCAGGGUUCUUGGUUUCCGAUUGAAUUAAAAAAAUAGAUAAAAAAAGAAGAUAAUCCUAUAAAAAUCUAUAUUUAAAGCAAUUAAUCAGCAAAAAAAAUACAAAUUUUGUAUUUAAAUUUAAGACAAACCUCACAAAAGGAGAAUCGACUUGCAUAACCAAAAUAAUGAAAGGUUUAAUGAAUAUCAAGGAGAUCAACCAAAAUAAAUAAAUACACCAUGAUAACAAGAUAAAGCGGCAAAAAAAAAAAGAAAAAUGAUAAAGGCUAAAUAAAAUAUAGUUAAUGAAAAAAAACUUAAAUAUAAUUAAUAGGCAAUGUGAAAUGGGGGAAAAACAGGGAUAAAAAGAAAAUGAAACAUACCAGAUAGUUGUAAUCACCUAAAAAAAGUAGGAAAAUAAUCUUAAUAUAAUUAAUUAUAAAGAAAAAAUUUGAAGGGAAAAAAAGACGAAAAAAAAAGAGGGAAAUAAGGGUUGAAGGCAAAGGCAAAAAGAGAAAGAAGAGAAGAAUUGAGCGGAGAGAUGUUCAUGAUUUUUGGCUAAUCGAAAAAUAGUUGAACAAAUAUUCAAUUAAAAAUAAAAACUGCCAUUUAUGUACAUGACAAAAAGAAAAGUUACAGUAACCUCUGUUUCUUUACAUGCAUGUGCAGUAGUAUACCAACCUGGUGAAUGACUUUUGGGGCAAGUGGGGCCUGGUUCAUAGCGCUUUUGUAUGGGUGUUUUUCGACGGCUAAAGUGGCAGUGAAAAAUCAACAAAUGUUAUUACAGAAAAAGAAUUACACAAUAGGAAGGGUACACAGAUCGGAUUGGAUCGGAUGGCGGCUACAGAAAGCCUUCACGCACAGAAAAUCAUGGGAGCCAAGACAAAGUUUGAUAUUGACAGAAGCAUAUAUACUAAAUUCCGCAAAAUUAAUAUUCUGCACAUCAUUAAAUUACUCAUGUUGAAAGAGAAGCAAAUACUGCUGAAUUCAGCACAUUAAUGGUAUGCAUAUCAUAUCAUAUCAUUACUUUCCGUGUCCGAGAAUACACAGACAGACAAGACUUGAUGAAACAAGCAGAACCCGAUACCGCUGCUAGUUUCUUGGAAACUUCAGUGUUUCAUGUCGACCAAACAUGACGACCUGGAAAAAGACAUGCAGCAGCAAUAUUUUACAUUUAUUUGUGACUCCAAACAAAACACACCAAACCCAAGAUGGACUGUAUUAUAUUUUUGUUACUUAGCCUCGACCUGGAGAACAAAGACGCUGAUGCUAUAUAUAGGACGCUCUAAUAUAUGAGCACCAUUAUCCGUGCAAACUUUCCACCAAAAGAUACCGUGCAAACCUGCUCAAAUAAUACUACUACUUGCAUGCAUGCAGUACAAUACUACGUAGGUGGUGGAUUAAAGCCCUGCAAUCUGCAACUGCUGCCAGAGUCCCAAUGUCUCAUUGAGACUGGAAAUCUGAUCGUUUGCUUGUUGAAGCUCAUUCUCCAGUUCUUUGAUCCUAUUCUCCAGAUCAACCAUCUUUUUCUUCUCCUUCUCUUCCUUUCUCCUUCGGUUGAGAUAGUUGGAUACUUGAUCCAAGCCAAGUUUCAAUUCCUUGGCCAAUUCCUUCUUCUCAUCCCUACUCAAGUAUUCAUGAAUAUGAGCCCCCAGAGCGGCUUUCUGCUCUUCGGUGAAUCUUGGUGGGGGCCGCAUGUUAAUCUCUUCUCUUCCACCUCUCUUCUGAUUUGUCUUGAGUACCUCUCUUUAUAGAACAAAAAGGCGUUUAUCUUUAUAAUCUGCCUUGUGUCGGUUCUGCUUUUUGGCUUUAUUAGAGCACUAUUAUGUGAUGUUGCUAAAAUCUGAUAGGUUCUUUAUGUGAUAAAAUGUUUUUGUUAUUUAAUCGUUUUAGAAAAUUAGAGCCUAUAAAAAUUUUAGUAUUUUCCCUGCUCUUGCUCGCUCUAAUUUUUGAUAGUAUUCUCUCUAUUGAAAUUUUUUUGUAACUAUCUUUACCAUUUCCACAAUGGUGAACCUUGAACUAAAAUAUAUCACAUGAUGCUAUGUUUUCCCUUUCUAUUAAAUGUUAUUUUUUUUUAAUUAAACAAAUUGUUAUUUGCUUAACAUUGAAUGUUUCUUAUAUUUCCAUUCAUGUGAAUUACAAGCCAACCAAAUAUCAAUUGACAAUUUGAUUGUGUACAAAUUAUUCGCUUACUGUAUAUGGUUAAUGGAGUUCACAUGUAUUCUUAGGCAUAAUUUUAAUUACUAUACAAUUUUAUAGAAUUAGAUGACUUGGAAAAUAAUAAAUCUCAAGUUGUAGACAAAUUUUUAAUUUUUUUUUGUAAUUUUGAAUAAAUUGAUUUACUAUAACAAACAUUUAGUUGGUCCAAAAUCCACGAACUAACAUCUUGUAAUUCUAAGCUAAUAUUAUUGUACUCCAUAAAUAAAGGUCCUAUCUCUAUCACUGAUUAGAGCAUGUUAAUUUUUUUACUAUUUUAAGAAUUAAACACAAGGACAUAAAAAUCGAUUUAGAGUGGUAGCUAGUGAGUGUUGAAAAUCGUGCAGAAACUUUUAUCUGGAACUUGCAAAGACUUUAAAAUUCUUGUAUUACAUAUUCUUGUGUUUUUUUAAUUUUUUUUGUGUUGCUUUUGGUUUUAUCACAUAAUAUCAUUUAGAGUGGUUGUCGUACAUGUUACGUUUAGUUUGAGAUGGGUUUAAAAUUUGAUCCCACUGGAGUAACAAUUAUGUGCCAGGAAUGUUCUCUUUGGUAAAAUAUCUUUUUCCUAAAAGAAUUGCUUUCUGCAGGUAGUAAAACUCUUCUUAAUCAAGUGAUUAAUUACUCUAAAGGAGAUGUCUAAAAUAAUCGUAUAACACAGCACAUUACCAUUUGCAUAAAAGUUAAUGCGGUCUAGUUAUUGAAAUCUGUGCCACGAAUUCCAUUGUGUCAAGAUGACUUAUAUUAAUACAAUAAUCAGUUCACUAAUAGCAUGAAGGGGCAUGCAUAGCUUCUCAUAACCACAAUGAAUGAAUGUUUGGAUUACAUUUUUCUGGAUUUUUUGUAAAAAAAUUACUGUAGCAAUUUGAUAUUUGUGAGAUAAAAAGGUGAUUGAAAAAUGUGUUCACAGAAAAUUGCUAUCCAAACAAAUUAAUCAGUCCAACGUAUUUAGUCUCACAAGCAAAGAUUCUCCUACAACGUGUACAGAGACUUAAUUGUUGACUUUAUUUUUUCAAGACGACAAUUGUAGUAUAUCCUAAUCUAUCCUACACUAGGGGGAAGGGGUGGAUCUAAGGAGGUCCAGGGGUAAUUCGGAGGGGACUGAACCAUCACCGGACCAAACGGUGCACUAUACACCCGCCUGGAUUUUUUAAAACAAAUUCACAUAUUAAUGUGGGAAUUGAUGGAAGGCAAGAUUUGAACCCUUACCUCACACUUUGGACUGGUGGUUGACUGAGUAAAGCUAAAAAAGCAUUAUUUCCUAGUAGGUGGAAAAGCAAUAGCGCUUCAUUUUUAGUUUUAUAAAUAUGAGCUCAAGACAUUAACAUAUUUAGGAUUUCACAUGACAAUUCGUAGCAAUACGUGUGUUCAAGAGAAUUUUCCCAACAUUCCGCCUACUAAUGAGUGGGAAUACCUCACAUGGACAUGACUUACCUUUUGGAAGAAAAGAUAGUGAAAGUAAGAUGGAAAAUCAGUGGGGAGAAAAGAUAGUGUGAAAGUAAGACGACAAGUGGGAGGCUAGGGUAAUAACUGCUUUUAUAGCAAUUUGAAAUCGUUACAUGACAGGUAAUUACUUGCAUAAUUACUGAUUGGAAGUAUCAAGGAAGUAUCAAUUGUGGGUGUGAAGAUGACUCUUUGCCGGCUACACUCAUAGAGGACAUUAGACAGCUUAGGAAUACGAAAUUCUACAUUUUUCUAUUAUCACUCUAGUAUGAUAGGCAUAGUACACUAUCACACUUCAAUUAAUUCCAGUAACAAAAGUUUUGUAGAACUACUAACUAUAUACUUGACACUACAAGAAAUAUAUUUUUCAGUGACAAAAAUUUAUGUGACAACAAAAAUCUUGUCACAGAUAACCUAAUUCAGUGACGACAUUAGGUGUCAUCACAGAUGAGUACAGCACAAGCAUAAUCAGUGACAACAUUGGAAGUUGUCAUUCUCAACUCGUCACGAAAUAGUUGGCGCUCAUCUCAUUUGAUGCCGCGGGAAAUGAUUUUAUGACAACUCAAGUAAAGUCGUCACAAACGCUCUCUCUAUAGUGACAACAUAACUUGUUGUCAUUGAAAGUCUACCCGGUUCCAAUUUUGUGACAACUUUUUGCAUCACUGUAUACUACAGUAUUUUCAUCAACUUUCACUAAUUCUACUAUGACACCCUAAUUUUAUUUUUUAGCCCCCAAUUCUUUUAUAUUAGCAAAAGCACCGAAGAUAUGACACCCUAAUUUUAUAAUUUAGCCCCUAUUCAUUAUGUAUUAACAAAAUGCAAAUGAUAUAAUAACAAACUAUUUUUAGAUAUUUGUAAUUUUUGCUAAGUUGACAUAAUAGACAUGUCUGAGCAUAAAAUUUUUUUCAUGAAUUGUUUAUUAUUACUUAUAACAACCCCCAAAAAUCAAUAACUGAAAUAAUUUGAAAAAGUGUAAUUGAAUAUAAUUUGUAGUCUAAUGUUAGCAUUGUGAAAUAUUAGUAUAAUGUGUAAUACAUCAUAAGUAAUAAUUAUUUUCAUAUGGAAUGGGUAUAUAUGAAAUUAAAAUUAUUCAGUAAAAUAUCUGUCGUGCAAUAAGAUUGAGAGUUGUAACACAUUUAACAGAAUAUUUGAUUACAUGUUUCUUUUAAUUUAUUAUAAAAACUAAGUAAUAGACAAAGAGUAGGAUAAGCAUGAGUAAGAAGUGUUAUACUGUAUAUAAGCAAUUCUAUAGUAUUUUCAUCAAAUUUCACUAAUUCUACUAUGGCACCCUAAUUUUAUUAUUUAGCCCCCAAUUCUUUUAUAUGAGCAAAAGCACAGAAGAUAUGACACCCUAAUUUUAUAAUUUAGCCCCUAUUCAUUACGUAUUAGCAAAAUGCAAAUGAUAUAAUAACAAACUAGUUUUAGAUAUUUGUAAUUUUUGCUAAGUUGACAUAAUAGACAUGUUUGAGCAUAAAAUUUUUUUGAUGAAUUGUUUAUUAUUACUUAUAACAACCCCCAAAAAUCAAUAACUGAAAUAAUUUGAAAAAGUGUAAUUGAAUAUAAUUUGUAGUCUAAUGUUAGCACUGUGAAAGAUUAGUAUAACGUGUAAUACAUCAUAAGUAAUAAUUAUUUUCAUAUGGAAUGGGUAUAUACGAAAUUAAAAUUAUUCAGUAAAAUAUCUGUCGUGCAAUAAGAUUGAGAGUUGUAACACAUUUAACAGAAUAUUUGAUUACAUGUUUCUUUUAAUUUAUUAUAAAAACUAAGUAAUAGACAAAGAGUAGGAUAAGCAUGAGUAAGAAGUGAUAUACUGUAUAUAAGCAAUUCUAUGCAUGUUAAAUUUUUGAAACAUGUUUUAUUGUGUAAGUUUUAUUGUAAGGUAAUUUCUUAAAUAAUUUGUAUAUUGAGUUAUCCAAACCCAAAAAGAUGUAUAUAGACACAAACAAGCACACAUAUAUAUACAUGUACAAAAAAGAAACCAAUAUCAAAUAAUUUAUUUGAUAUUUAUAGAUGAGAUUAAGGAAAAAAAAAAGAGAUUAAGUAUGAAAAAAGAAAUCUGAAAAAAAAAAUUUGACCAGGGAAAAAAAAAAGAAAAAAGAUGUAUGAAGUUAAAGGCGUGAAUCCUGGAAUCUCAAAGACGUGCUUAGAUGCCAAAAAAAAAAAGAGCGCCAGUCUGAAAUCUGAAAGAGCCGCGAGGCGGGUGGUUGAAAUCUCUACAAAACGACGUCAUUUUUGGUUGUUCACAGACAAACAAAAGUCUCGCCGCUUCUCUCUUCCAACACUUGGACAAAUUUCAUUCUCAGUCUUUCCUUCCUACGGUGAACACCGAAAAACUCUGGACCUCAAACACCUUCUGCUUCCGCAAAAUGCUCCUCUAAAGCACCAUUGACAAGUGCCAAUCUUCAGGUCAAGCUCGCCGAAGAAGCGAAGUCAGAACACUUCCAAGCUCCCUCCUCGUUCAGCGACUUCAGCUUAGACUUUUCUCCGACCCCCUCUUCAGCUAAUUGUGCGGUAUGAGUUUUUUUUUUUUUUUUUUUUCAAAAGUUGCUCAGCCUUCUAUUGUAAAGACUAAUUUAUGAACUAGAUUGUUAAUUAGCAGUGGGGAAGGUAAUACUCUUGGCCAAAUCGCAUCCAAAACACUUGCGAUCUGGAGUAUGAAUAGUGUUAGGGUUCGUCCAAGAAUUUUUUUUUCUUUUGUGGAUUUUUUCACUGUUUUCGAGAAAUUUGGACUGAUUAAACCAAAAAUUGCUUGCUUUAUAUUUUGAUGGAACCUUUUUGUGAUUAGGAUGGUCAGAACCGGCUUUCUUUGAGGAGCUAUGAAAUGCGAACAUUUUUUGACUGCAUUAAUUUGGUUGGAUGAAAGAGAAAUUAAACAAUUUGUCGUGCCAUUCAAUUGCUUCCUUAAGGGGAAGAGAACUUGACUGAUUUGCCUAAUUUAUUUGGCUGUUUUAAAUGUACUUUAUGCCAUACCAUGUAAUUUACUCUCUGGUUCUCUCUCUCUCUCUCUGGGAGCUUGUCCAUCCAUGUAACUGUUAGUCAUCAGAAAUCUUGUCAAAAGGCUUGAUACUUUGCUUGUAUGGAAUCCUAAGACCAGACUUGAAACAGCCCAUCCAAACUCUGAGUACCAAUCUGCAUAGAUGAUGCUUUUUCUUCUUUAUAUUAAAAAAAAUGAACGGUAACAUUAGGUUUUACCCCUUCUAACUUGUGUUUUAUGAAGUUACUAAUCAGGUUUUUGGUAGAUUUAUAGCAAUAGCUGAAACUGAAAUCAGGUUUUUGGUAGAUUUAUAGUAAUAGCUGAAACUGAAGAUGCCUAUGCCAUUGAUCCUAUGUUCUCUGUAUCACCUUCUUAUAACUACAAUUACUACCAUACUACAGCUUAUUUUCAUAAUUUGAGCACAGAGAACAAAGAGUGACACAACUUGGAUAGCCACCAUUUUAGUUGUAGUCCAUCCUGAUGCAGGAAAGGCUUUAGUUUGCUAGGCUAUUUUUGCUUGUUGGCAAGAGGGGUCCAUGGGGAAGUACUCUGUCCGCUGGUCUACAUGCCUUUUCAAGGCAGAACCAGAUAGAGCUAUUUAAUCAAACACAUUGUUUUACUGUAGUAUUCAAAGCUUUUCUUUUUUGUUAAUUAAAGGAGAGUCUAUUGGGGGAAGAGGAGGGAGAAGGGGUGGUUAUGAAUAGUUAUUCCUACCGAUAGACUUCACAAAAUUGUGGUUGAAGAAUAUCUGAUACUGCUUUUCUCUCCCAUUGGUUUUACAUUUAGCAGUAAAUUUCAUUGAUAAUGGUUGAUUACAAAAUAAUCUUGGAAGUCAAAUAAUUCCAUCAAAUCCUUUUAAAGGCAUAUUGACCAGUUACUCUUUUCCCCUUUUUGCUCUACUCUCAGUAUUAGAAGGAAUAUUAAACAUAUUCUUUCUUAACUUGUUUCUAUCUAAUCUUGUUAUCUUCGUGGUUGAAAUAGGUCAGAUGUCCAGUCAGAAUGUGCAAAUUUCAUGGGGCAACCUACCUCCAUCCUUGAUGCCUCCUCCAGAAGCUGGAUAUCCUCCUUCUUUACCCUUUAUUGAUUGGGGAUAGGUAUUUGCCUCAUACUUUAUGCAUCAGUUUCCAUGUCUUUUUUGCUAUUAGCUUUUAUUUAGAUAUGUUUUUGUGGUUAUAUGGAUCAAAGGACAAGGGGUUGCUUGAUGUCAAUUUAGUUGCUUGAUGGCACUUGAAAUCUGGUUCCACCAAAUCUGAUUCUUGUUUAAUGCAAUUGAGUUGCUUGAGGCUGAUUUAGGUGCUUGAAAUCUUGUUCAUGUUUAAUUACAGCCAUUGAGGUGCUGGAUGUUGCAACCAAAACUUUAGUGUUUUUAAAGCAAAUGUGUUUGAACGUUUGGAUGUAUUCCACUUUUUUCUUUGUCGAACUCAUCUAAAUUUUUCUGUAUCAAAUUUUUUUUUUGUGCUAAGGAAAAAGAGGCACUUGUGAUUGUGUGUGUGUGUGUGUGUUUUUUUUCUUGAUAUACUGUGUGGUUCACGAUCAUCUAGGCUCUCAAUGAUUUUAGGAUUUAAAGAGGACAAAAUAUAAAGAGGAUUUAAAGGCAUCUUAAAGAGGAUCACCUGCUCCCAAAUUAAAAAUAUGGGAUCAAAUGCUGUCACUCUUGGAUAUGUAUAAAAUCAUGUGUUCUUUUGCUGUAUCUAUUUUCUUCAUAUUCUGGAUUUAAUUGGUGCUUUGUUAUAGGUCGGGUUUGAAGAUAUGAUGGUAAAAUAAAGAAUAGAGGACUAGCCAUCUUAUAUUAGAUUAAAAUUUAGAAAAAUAGAAAUAACACAUGACAGAUCAAAACCUAUUCUGAUAUGUUAUCUUUAAGGAUGAACUGCAGAUUUUUGGAUUCUUAAAAUGUUAAUGUCCUUUUCAUCCACUUCCUAAUAUCUGAGUUUCCCCAGAUUCUGAAAUUCCUCUCUCAGUACGAAUUUGAAAUCCCCCAGUAGUGGUGUUAUUUUGAAGAUCUUUUACUUACAAAUUAUGUCUGAAACUGUUUCAUCAUUUGUUUUAAAUGUAUAUUUCAAAUCUGCAAGAAUUUGUCUAUAAGAAAUGUCAUAGUCAGAAGGUAAGUUUAGAUUUUUUAGUGUUUCUUUUCCUGUCAAUUCAUAAAUUAAAAGAGAAAACUCUCAGAAAGAGAAGGUCAGAGAUUUUAAUACAUUCUAGAAUGGAUUUUGGGUUUUGUCAAGAGUGAAAAAGAAAUAACUUCAAAUAGGACUGCAAAACCAUUCAGCCUAAUUGCUCUUUGGUUUUCCUUUUCUCUAUAUAUACACUAUGUAAGUCCUGUGAGUAUUUUUGGUGAUAAAAAAACAUGGCGCAUAUAUUGGAAGCGUUUAAUCUUCACUCUCUUUUACUCAUAUCAGUUAGUAAUUUGGUUUUUCUUUUUCUUUUAAAGAAAUUAAUUCUCAAUAUAUUCAAUUAGGUUACAGGUUGGGUAGUGGAAUACCAAGAAAAUUUAAUUGGACUUGGUGUGGACGAGUCCUUAGCUCAAGUUUGUUCCGAGAGUGGCUCAAUGGAUCCCCUCAUGAAUGCAUAUGUAGAAAGAAUGCAAGCUACCACAAGGGUAAUAACUAUAUGAUGUCUACUUGGCUUUGCUAUUCCUUCAUUUUGCUCCUCUAACAAAUAUAUUCAGCACUGCAAAUUUCAUUUUUAACUUUGUUCUGCAGAAAUGGUAUUUGAAUAUACUUGAGGCUGACAAGGUACAAGCACCUAAGAAAACAGAUGAUGGAAAGCUUUAUACACCAGCUGCUGUUGACUUAUUUAGAAUCCUUGGAGAGCAAGUACAAAUAGUUCGGGAGAAUAGCACUGAUGUCAUGUUGUAUAGAAUCUCUUUGGCUAUAAUUCAGGUGAGUUUGAGAUAGUUUUGUCAUUCAUAUCAUGUCAAAAGGAGCUGUUCAUUUGAGGAUAUAACCGAACCAAUUUCACCUCAGGUACUUUACAUUUAUAGUAUUUUUUUUGUUUGUGCUAUAGUAAUUACUGUGUCAAUGAACAUUAUCUGCUUAGAUCCCUUUUGAAUUUGCUGCCAACUCAUACAGUUAACUGGGAAAGGUCUGAAUUGAAACUACAUUUUCGUUGUCACUGUGCCCAUUUUGUGCCAGAAUCUGUUUCUAGCAAUUUUACAUGUUCCAAUUUAUUGAUAUUAAUUCCCACUCCACUACUUGUUUCCUAAAAGCAAAUUACUAGAGUAGGUUGGAUCUAUGUUGCUAGAUCAUUUAAGCUGUCAAGAACUCUAAGAUUGGAAAAUUUUCUUGUUUUUGCCUCAUCUUUCUAGUGGACGUAUUCUUUUAUAGUACCUAUAUUGUUGAUACUUCUGAACAACAUGAUUAGCUGGUAUAUCACUAAACAGUUUACACAUUGUUAACACUUGUGCACAGUAUGAUUCUAUAGUAUUUUCUAGUUACAACAACAUUUGAAAAUUUGUUACUAGUCUCCAGCCUAUCUUCUGCAUGAUCUGUGGUGUGCCCAAGUUCAUCAGAAAAUUCAAUCUACAUUUUCAUACAGCAGAGUCGAACAAAUGCUGCUACUUAAUUUAUAUCUGGUCUUGUCCCUAUCUUAAUAUAUAUUCCCUUCUCACUAUGUUGUUAAUUAAUCAUUAUACCAGUUUGCCCAUUCUCUCUCCUAUUUUCUGCUAAAUUGGUCAUCUCUUCUCCUUAGGUGAUGAUUGAUUUUCAAGCAGCUGAAAGGCAGAGAUUAGAGGAACCUGCUUCUGAAAUUGGUCUAGAACCUCUUUGUGCAAUGGUAACUGAAUUUUGUAAACUUCGUUUAGUCUAAUUGAUCUUCGUUUGUCGAACUCAUCUAAAUUUUUCUGUAUCAGAAUUUUUUUUUUGUGCUAAGGAAAAAGAGGCACCUGUGAUUGUGUGUGUGUGUGUGUGUUUUUUUUCUUGAUAUACUGUGUGGUUCACGAUCAUCUAGGCUCUCAAUGAUUUUAGGAUUUUAUUGUUGUUAUUGUUAUUGUUAUUGUUAUUGCAUAUAUAUUUGUGAACAUGCAGAUAUUUAUUGUGUUUGUAUUGUUAUUCUAUAUUUCACAGAAUAUACAUUCAAUGUCUUAUUUGCUAUAAUUUCACUUUAUUUUUGUGUUAAGCAAUUUACUUAGAUUGCUAUAAUUUCAAAUUAGAGUGACAUUAGUUUUUAUAAUAUGGUGCCUAUCUAGAAGUGUAGUUCCAGUUUUAACACCAGUGCUCAUUGCUUCAAUUUUGGUAGCGUGUAGGUUCUAACACGAUUCCCAAGAAGAAGAAGCCAGUCAUUGCUGUGAAGAUGGUUUUUGAAUUGAAGACUACAAGGCCUAUCGUGCUCAUGUUUUGUUCUAGAUGGGAAUCGUGCUCAUAUUUUUGUAUAGAACUUUACUACUCUCUAUUGUGGAUGGGAAAUCACUAGUAUUGUAACUGAAUGGCUUAUUUUGGAUGGUGCAUGGUUUAUGACUCAUUUGAGGCAACAUUUAUAUAUAUAUAUAUAUGUAUUUGGGUUGAUCUUCUAUUGGAAAUGAAUGUUGGCUUUCUUUUCGUAUGUUGGCUUUUUUUUUCUCCUUGCUAUUCAAUGAACGUUUUGUGAUUGUUGGCAGCUAUGUUGCGUAAUUAACAUUAGAUUAUUGCUUUUUACAAAAAAAUAAAUGACAAUAAAUAAGUUGUCACUGCUAACAAGUUUCACUAGUGACACCAGAAAGUUGUCACUUUUUAUGGAUGGAAAACAAUGACAACAAAAGUCGUCACUGAACGGAAGCAUAAUGUGACAACUCCAAGGGUUGACUAUGACAAGAAUUUAGCCAGUUUAGUGACAAUAAAAGUCGUCACACAAUGUACAACAAUGAGUGACGACAAGAGUCAUCAAAAAAGCGAAAUCGUUUGUGACGACUUUCAACAGUCGUCACAUGGACCCCCUUUUGUGACAUAGAACUAGUGACAGCUCUGUGACAGCAGUAAAAGUCGUCACUGACUUUUUUUGUGACGACUUCUGAAUUUUUAGUGACGACUUUCGCCUGUCACAGAAAGCUAAUAUUAUUGUACUCCAUAAAUAAAGGUCCUAUCUCUAUCACUGAUUAGAGCAUGUUAAUUUUUUUACUAUUUUAAGAAUUAAACACAAGGACAUAAAAAUCGAUUUAGAGUGGUAGCUAGUGAGUGUUGAAAAUCGUGCAGAAACUUUUAUCUGGAACUUGCAAAGACUUUAAAAUUCUUGUAUUACAUAUUCUUGUGUUUUUUUAAUUUUUUUUGUGUUGCUUUUGGUUUUAUCACAUAAUAUCAUUUAGAGUGGUUGUCGUACAUGUUACGUUUAGUUUGAGAUGGGUUUAAAAUUUGAUCCCACUGGAGUAACAAUUAUGUGCCAGGAAUGUUCUCUUUGGUAAAAUAUCUUUUUCCUAAAAGAAUUGCUUUCUGCAGGUAGUAAAACUCUUCUUAAUCAAGUGAUUAAUUACUCUAAAGGAGAUGUCUAAAAUAAUCGUAUAACACAGCACAUUACCAUUUGCAUAAAAGUUAAUGCGGUCUAGUUAUUGAAAUCUGUGCCACGAAUUCCAUUGUGUCAAGAUGACUUAUAUUAAUACAAUAAUCAGUUCACUAAUAGCAUGAAGGGGCAUGCAUAGCUUCUCAUAACCACAAUGAAUGAAUGUUUGGAUUACAUUUUUCUGGAUUUUUUGUAAAAAAAUUACUGUAGCAAUUUGAUAUUUGUGAGAUAAAAAGGUGAUUGAAAAAUGUGUUCACAGAAAAUUGCUAUCCAAACAAAUUAAUCAGUCCAACGUAUUUAGUCUCACAAGCAAAGAUUCUCCUACAACGUGUACAGAGACUUAAUUGUUGACUUUAUUUUUUCAAGACGACAACUGUAGUAUAUCCUAAUCUAUCCUACACUAGGGGGAAGGGGUGGAUCUAAGGAGGUCCAGGGGUAAUUCGGAGGGGACUGAACCAUCACCGGACCAAACGGUGCACUAUACACCCGCCUGGAUUUUUUAAAACAAAUUCACAUAUUAAUGUGGGAAUUGAUGGAAGGCAAGAUUUGAACCCUUACCUCACACUUUGGACUGGUGGUUGACUGAGUAAAGCUAAAAAAGCAUUAUUUCCUAGUAGGUGGAAAAGCAAUAGCGCUUCAUUUUUAGUUUUAUAAAUAUGAGCUCAAGACAUUAACAUAUUUAGGAUUUCACAUGACAAUUCGUAGCAAUACGUGUGUUCAAGAGAAUUUUCCCAACAUUCCGCCUACUAAUGAGUGGGAAUACCUAACAUGGACAUGACUUACCUUUUGGAAGAAAAGAUAGUGAAAGUAAGAUGGAAAAUCAGUGGGGAGAAAAGAUAGUGUGAAAGUAAGACGACAAGUGGGAGGCUAGGGUAAUAACUGCUUUUAUAGCAAUUUGAAAUCGUUACAUGACAGGUAAUUACUUGCAUAAUUACUGAUUGGAAGUAUCAAGGAAGUAUCAAUUGUGGGUGUGAAGAUGACUCUUUGCCGGCUACACUCAUAGAGGACAUUAGACAGCUUAGGAAUACGAAAUUCUACAUUUUUCUAUUAUCACUCUAGUAUGAUAGGCAUAGUACACUAUCACACUUCAAUUAAUUCCAGUAACAAAAGUUUUGUAGAACUACUAACUAUAUACUUGACACUACAAGAAAUAUAUUUUUCAGUGACAAAAAUUUAUGUGACAACAAAAAUCUUGUCACAGAUAACCUAAUUCAGUGACGACAUUAGGUGUCAUCACAGAUGAGUACAGCACAAGCAUAAUCAGUGACAACAUUGGAAGUUGUCAUUCUCAACUCGUCACGAAAUAGUUGGCGCUCAUCUCAUUUGAUGCCGCGGGAAAUGAUUUUAUGACAACUCAAGUAAAGUCGUCACAAACGCUCUCUCUAUAGUGACAACAUAACUUGUUGUCAUUGAAAGUCUACCCGGUUCCAAUUUUGUGACAACUUUUUGCAUCACUGUAUACUACAGUAUUUUCAUCAACUUUCACUAAUUCUACUAUGACACCCUAAUUUUAUUUUUUAGCCCCCAAUUCUUUUAUAUUAGCAAAAGCACCGAAGAUAUGACACCCUAAUUUUAUAAUUUAGCCCCUAUUCAUUAUGUAUUAACAAAAUGCAAAUGAUAUAAUAACAAACUAUUUUUAGAUAUUUGUAAUUUUUGCUAAGUUGACAUAAUAGACAUGUCUGAGCAUAAAAUUUUUUUCAUGAAUUGUUUAUUAUUACUUAUAACAACCCCCAAAAAUCAAUAACUGAAAUAAUUUGAAAAAGUGUAAUUGAAUAUAAUUUGUAGUCUAAUGUUAGCAUUGUGAAAUAUUAGUAUAAUGUGUAAUACAUCAUAAGUAAUAAUUAUUUUCAUAUGGAAUGGGUAUAUAUGAAAUUAAAAUUAUUCAGUAAAAUAUCUGUCGUGCAAUAAGAUUGAGAGUUGUAACACAUUUAACAGAAUAUUUGAUUACAUGUUUCUUUUAAUUUAUUAUAAAAACUAAGUAAUAGACAAAGAGUAGGAUAAGCAUGAGUAAGAAGUGUUAUACUGUAUAUAAGCAAUUCUAUAGUAUUUUCAUCAAAUUUCACUAAUUCUACUAUGGCACCCUAAUUUUAUUAUUUAGCCCCCAAUUCUUUUAUAUGAGCAAAAGCACAGAAGAUAUGACACCCUAAUUUUAUAAUUUAGCCCCUAUUCAUUACGUAUUAGCAAAAUGCAAAUGAUAUAAUAACAAACUAGUUUUAGAUAUUUGUAAUUUUUGCUAAGUUGACAUAAUAGACAUGUUUGAGCAUAAAAUUUUUUUGAUGAAUUGUUUAUUAUUACUUAUAACAACCCCCAAAAAUCAAUAACUGAAAUAAUUUGAAAAAGUGUAAUUGAAUAUAAUUUGUAGUCUAAUGUUAGCACUGUGAAAGAUUAGUAUAACGUGUAAUACAUCAUAAGUAAUAAUUAUUUUCAUAUGGAAUGGGUAUAUACGAAAUUAAAAUUAUUCAGUAAAAUAUCUGUCGUGCAAUAAGAUUGAGAGUUGUAACACAUUUAACAGAAUAUUUGAUUACAUGUUUCUUUUAAUUUAUUAUAAAAACUAAGUAAUAGACAAAGAGUAGGAUAAGCAUGAGUAAGAAGUGAUAUACUGUAUAUAAGCAAUUCUAUGCAUGUUAAAUUUUUGAAACAUGUUUUAUUGUGUAAGUUUUAUUGUAAGGUAAUUUCUUAAAUAAUUUGUAUAUUGAGUUAUCCAAACCCAAAAAGAUGUAUAUAGACACAAACAAGCACACAUAUAUAUACAUGUACAAAAAAGAAACCAAUAUCAAAUAAUUUAUUUGAUAUUUAUAGAUGAGAUUAAGGAAAAAAAAAAGAGAUUAAGUAUGAAAAAAGAAAUCUGAAAAAAAAAAUUUGACCAGGGAAAAAAAAAAGAAAAAAGAUGUAUGAAGUUAAAGGCGUGAAUCCUGGAAUCUCAAAGACGUGCUUAGAUGCCAAAAAAAAAAAGAGCGCCAGUCUGAAAUCUGAAAGAGCCGCGAGGCGGGUGGUUGAAAUCUCUACAAAACGACGUCAUUUUUGGUUGUUCACAGACAAACAAAAGUCUCGCCGCUUCUCUCUUCCAACACUUGGACAAAUUUCAUUCUCAGUCUUUCCUUCCUACGGUGAACACCGAAAAACUCUGGACCUCAAACACCUUCUGCUUCCGCAAAAUGCUCCUCUAAAGCACCAUUGACAAGUGCCAAUCUUCAGGUCAAGCUCGCCGAAGAAGCGAAGUCAGAACACUUCCAAGCUCCCUCCUCGUUCAGCGACUUCAGCUUAGACUUUUCUCCGACCCCCUCUUCAGCUAAUUGUGCGGUAUGAGUUUUUUUUUUUUUUUUUUUUCAAAAGUUGCUCAGCCUUCUAUUGUAAAGACUAAUUUAUGAACUAGAUUGUUAAUUAGCAGUGGGGAAGGUAAUACUCUUGGCCAAAUCGCAUCCAAAACACUUGCGAUCUGGAGUAUGAAUAGUGUUAGGGUUCGUCCAAGAAUUUUUUUUUCUUUUGUGGAUUUUUUCACUGUUUUCGAGAAAUUUGGACUGAUUAAACCAAAAAUUGCUUGCUUUAUAUUUUGAUGGAACCUUUUUGUGAUUAGGAUGGUCAGAACCGGCUUUCUUUGAGGAGCUAUGAAAUGCGAACAUUUUUUGACUGCAUUAAUUUGGUUGGAUGAAAGAGAAAUUAAACAAUUUGUCGUGCCAUUCAAUUGCUUCCUUAAGGGGAAGAGAACUUGACUGAUUUGCCUAAUUUAUUUGGCUGUUUUAAAUGUACUUUAUGCCAUACCAUGUAAUUUACUCUCUGGUUCUCUCUCUCUCUCUCUGGGAGCUUGUCCAUCCAUGUAACUGUUAGUCAUCAGAAAUCUUGUCAAAAGGCUUGAUACUUUGCUUGUAUGGAAUCCUAAGACCAGACUUGAAACAGCCCAUCCAAACUCUGAGUACCAAUCUGCAUAGAUGAUGCUUUUUCUUCUUUAUAUUAAAAAAAAUGAACGGUAACAUUAGGUUUUACCCCUUCUAACUUGUGUUUUAUGAAGUUACUAAUCAGGUUUUUGGUAGAUUUAUAGCAAUAGCUGAAACUGAAAUCAGGUUUUUGGUAGAUUUAUAGUAAUAGCUGAAACUGAAGAUGCCUAUGCCAUUGAUCCUAUGUUCUCUGUAUCACCUUCUUAUAACUACAAUUACUACCAUACUACAGCUUAUUUUCAUAAUUUGAGCACAGAGAACAAAGAGUGACACAACUUGGAUAGCCACCAUUUUAGUUGUAGUCCAUCCUGAUGCAGGAAAGGCUUUAGUUUGCUAGGCUAUUUUUGCUUGUUGGCAAGAGGGGUCCAUGGGGAAGUACUCUGUCCGCUGGUCUACAUGCCUUUUCAAGGCAGAACCAGAUAGAGCUAUUUAAUCAAACACAUUGUUUUACUGUAGUAUUCAAAGCUUUUCUUUUUUGUUAAUUAAAGGAGAGUCUAUUGGGGGAAGAGGAGGGAGAAGGGGUGGUUAUGAAUAGUUAUUCCUACCGAUAGACUUCACAAAAUUGUGGUUGAAGAAUAUCUGAUACUGCUUUUCUCUCCCAUUGGUUUUACAUUUAGCAGUAAAUUUCAUUGAUAAUGGUUGAUUACAAAAUAAUCUUGGAAGUCAAAUAAUUCCAUCAAAUCCUUUUAAAGGCAUAUUGACCAGUUACUCUUUUCCCCUUUUUGCUCUACUCUCAGUAUUAGAAGGAAUAUUAAACAUAUUCUUUCUUAACUUGUUUCUAUCUAAUCUUGUUAUCUUCGUGGUUGAAAUAGGUCAGAUGUCCAGUCAGAAUGUGCAAAUUUCAUGGGGCAACCUACCUCCAUCCUUGAUGCCUCCUCCAGAAGCUGGAUAUCCUCCUUCUUUACCCUUUAUUGAUUGGGGAUAGGUAUUUGCCUCAUACUUUAUGCAUCAGUUUCCAUGUCUUUUUUGCUAUUAGCUUUUAUUUAGAUAUGUUUUUGUGGUUAUAUGGAUCAAAGGACAAGGGGUUGCUUGAUGUCAAUUUAGUUGCUUGAUGGCACUUGAAAUCUGGUUCCACCAAAUCUGAUUCCUGUUUAAUGCAAUUGAGUUGCUUGAGGCUGAUUUAGGUGCUUGAAAUCUUGUUCAUGUUUAAUUACAGCCAUUGAGGUGCUGGAUGUUGCAACCAAAACUUUAGUGUUUUUAAAGCAAAUGUGUUUGAACGUUUGGAUGUAUUCCACUUUUUUCUUUGUCGAACUCAUCUAAAUUUUUCUGUAUCAAAUUUUUUUUUUGUGCUAAGGAAAAAGAGGCACUUGUGAUUGUGUGUGUGUGUGUGUGUUUUUUUUCUUGAUAUACUGUGUGGUUCACGAUCAUCUAGGCUCUCAAUGAUUUUAGGAUUUAAAGAGGACAAAAUAUAAAGAGGAUUUAAAGGCAUCUUAAAGAGGAUCACCUGCUCCCAAAUUAAAAAUAUGGGAUCAAAUGCUGUCACUCUUGGAUAUGUAUAAAAUCAUGUGUUCUUUUGCUGUAUCUAUUUUCUUCAUAUUCUGGAUUUAAUUGGUGCUUUGUUAUAGGUCGGGUUUGAAGAUAUGAUGGUAAAAUAAAGAAUAGAGGACUAGCCAUCUUAUAUUAGAUUAAAAUUUAGAAAAAUAGAAAUAACACAUGACAGAUCAAAACCUAUUCUGAUAUGUUAUCUUUAAGGAUGAACUGCAGAUUUUUGGAUUCUUAAAAUGUUAAUGUCCUUUUCAUCCACUUCCUAAUAUCUGAGUUUCCCCAGAUUCUGAAAUUCCUCUCUCAGUACGAAUUUGAAAUCCCCCAGUAGUGGUGUUAUUUUGAAGAUCUUUUACUUACAAAUUAUGUCUGAAACUGUUUCAUCAUUUGUUUUAAAUGUAUAUUUCAAAUCUGCAAGAAUUUGUCUAUAAGAAAUGUCAUAGUCAGAAGGUAAGUUUAGAUUUUUUAGUGUUUCUUUUCCUGUCAAUUCAUAAAUUAAAAGAGAAAACUCUCAGAAAGAGAAGGUCAGAGAUUUUAAUACAUUCUAGAAUGGAUUUUGGGUUUUGUCAAGAGUGAAAAAGAAAUAACUUCAAAUAGGACUGCAAAACCAUUCAGCCUAAUUGCUCUUUGGUUUUCCUUUUCUCUAUAUAUACACUAUGUAAGUCCUGUGAGUAUUUUUGGUGAUAAAAAAACAUGGCGCAUAUAUUGGAAGCGUUUAAUCUUCACUCUCUUUUACUCAUAUCAGUUAGUAAUUUGGUUUUUCUUUUUCUUUUAAAGAAAUUAAUUCUCAAUAUAUUCAAUUAGGUUACAGGUUGGGUAGUGGAAUACCAAGAAAAUUUAAUUGGACUUGGUGUGGACGAGUCCUUAGCUCAAGUUUGUUCCGAGAGUGGCUCAAUGGAUCCCCUCAUGAAUGCAUAUGUAGAAAGAAUGCAAGCUACCACAAGGGUAAUAACUAUAUGAUGUCUACUUGGCUUUGCUAUUCCUUCAUUUUGCUCCUCUAACAAAUAUAUUCAGCACUGCAAAUUUCAUUUUUAACUUUGUUCUGCAGAAAUAGUAUUUGAAUAUACUUGAGGCUGACAAGGUACAAGCACCUAAGAAAACAGAUGAUGGAAAGCUUUAUACACCAGCUGCUGUUGACUUAUUUAGAAUCCUUGGAGAGCAAGUACAAAUAGUUCGGGAGAAUAGCACUGAUGUCAUGUUGUAUAGAAUCUCUUUGGCUAUAAUUCAGGUGAGUUUGAGAUAGUUUUGUCAUUCAUAUCAUGUCAAAAGGAGCUGUUCAUUUGAGGAUAUAACCGAACCAAUUUCACCUCAGGUACUUUACAUUUAUAGUAUUUUUUUUGUUUGUGCUAUAGUAAUUACUGUGUCAAUGAACAUUAUCUGCUUAGAUCCCUUUUGAAUUUGCUGCCAACUCAUACAGUUAACUGGGAAAGGUCUGAAUUGAAACUACAUUUUCGUUGUCACUGUGCCCAUUUUGUGCCAGAAUCUGUUUCUAGCAAUUUUACAUGUUCCAAUUUAUUGAUAUUAAUUCCCACUCCACUACUUGUUUCCUAAAAGCAAAUUACUAGAGUAGGUUGGAUCUAUGUUGCUAGAUCAUUUAAGCUGUCAAGAACUCUAAGAUUGGAAAAUUUUCUUGUUUUUGCCUCAUCUUUCUAGUGGACGUAUUCUUUUAUAGUACCUAUAUUGUUGAUACUUCUGAACAACAUGAUUAGCUGGUAUAUCACUAAACAGUUUACACAUUGUUAACACUUGUGCACAGUAUGAUUCUAUAGUAUUUUCUAGUUACAACAACAUUUGAAAAUUUGUUACUAGUCUCCAGCCUAUCUUCUGCAUGAUCUGUGGUGUGCCCAAGUUCAUCAGAAAAUUCAAUCUACAUUUUCAUACAGCAGAGUCGAACAAAUGCUGCUACUUAAUUUAUAUCUGGUCUUGUCCCUAUCUUAAUAUAUAUUCCCUUCUCACUAUGUUGUUAAUUAAUCAUUAUACCAGUUUGCCCAUUCUCUCUCCUAUUUUCUGCUAAAUUGGUCAUCUCUUCUCCUUAGGUGAUGAUUGAUUUUCAAGCAGCUGAAAGGCAGAGAUUAGAGGAACCUGCUUCUGAAAUUGGUCUAGAACCUCUUUGUGCAAUGGUAACUGAAUUUUGUAAACUUCGUUUAGUCUAAUUGAUCUUCGUUUGUCGAACUCAUCUAAAUUUUUCUGUAUCAGAAUUUUUUUUUUGUGCUAAGGAAAAAGAGGCACCUGUGAUUGUGUGUGUGUGUGUGUGUUUUUUUUCUUGAUAUACUGUGUGGUUCACGAUCAUCUAGGCUCUCAAUGAUUUUAGGAUUUUAUUGUUGUUAUUGUUAUUGUUAUUGUUAUUGCAUAUAUAUUUGUGAACAUGCAGAUAUUUAUUGUGUUUGUAUUGUUAUUCUAUAUUUCACAGAAUAUACAUUCAAUGUCUUAUUUGCUAUAAUUUCACUUUAUUUUUGUGUUAAGCAAUUUACUUAGAUUGCUAUAAUUUCAAAUUAGAGUGACAUUAGUUUUUAUAAUAUGGUGCCUAUCUAGAAGUGUAGUUCCAGUUUUAACACCAGUGCUCAUUGCUUCAAUUUUGGUAGCGUGUAGGUUCUAACACGAUUCCCAAGAAGAAGAAGCCAGUCAUUGCUGUGAAGAUGGUUUUUGAAUUGAAGACUACAAGGCCUAUCGUGCUCAUGUUUUGUUCUAGAUGGGAAUCGUGCUCAUAUUUUUGUAUAGAACUUUACUACUCUCUAUUGUGGAUGGGAAAUCACUAGUAUUGUAACUGAAUGGCUUAUUUUGGAUGGUGCAUGGUUUAUGACUCAUUUGAGGCAACAUUUAUAUAUAUAUAUAUAUGUAUUUGGGUUGAUCUUCUAUUGGAAAUGAAUGUUGGCUUUCUUUUCGUAUGUUGGCUUUUUUUUUCUCCUUGCUAUUCAAUGAACGUUUUGUGAUUGUUGGCAGCUAUGUUGCGUAAUUAACAUUAGAUUAUUGCUUUUUACAAAAAAAUAAAUGACAAUAAAUAAGUUGUCACUGCUAACAAGUUUCACUAGUGACACCAGAAAGUUGUCACUUUUUAUGGAUGGAAAACAAUGACAACAAAAGUCGUCACUGAACGGAAGCAUAAUGUGACAACUCCAAGGGUUGACUAUGACAAGAAUUUAGCCAGUUUAGUGACAAUAAAAGUCGUCACACAAUGUACAACAAUGAGUGACGACAAGAGUCAUCAAAAAAGCGAAAUCGUUUGUGACGACUUUCAACAGUCGUCACAUGGACCCCCUUUUGUGACAUAGAACUAGUGACAGCUCUGUGACAGCAGUAAAAGUCGUCACUGACUUUUUUUGUGACGACUUCUGAAUUUUUAGUGACGACUUUCGCCUGUCACAGAAAGCUAAUAUUAUUGUACUCCAUAAAUAAAGGUCCUAUCUCUAUCACUGAUUAGAGCAUGUUAAUUUUUUUACUAUUUUAAGAAUUAAACACAAGGACAUAAAAAUCGAUUUAGAGUGGUAGCUAGUGAGUGUUGAAAAUCGUGCAGAAACUUUUAUCUGGAACUUGCAAAGACUUUAAAAUUCUUGUAUUACAUAUUCUUGUGUUUUUUUAAUUUUUUUUGUGUUGCUUUUGGUUUUAUCACAUAAUAUCAUUUAGAGUGGUUGUCGUACAUGUUACGUUUAGUUUGAGAUGGGUUUAAAAUUUGAUCCCACUGGAGUAACAAUUAUGUGCCAGGAAUGUUCUCUUUGGUAAAAUAUCUUUUUCCUAAAAGAAUUGCUUUCUGCAGGUAGUAAAACUCUUCUUAAUCAAGUGAUUAAUUACUCUAAAGGAGAUGUCUAAAAUAAUCGUAUAACACAGCACAUUACCAUUUGCAUAAAAGUUAAUGCGGUCUAGUUAUUGAAAUCUGUGCCACGAAUUCCAUUGUGUCAAGAUGACUUAUAUUAAUACAAUAAUCAGUUCACUAAUAGCAUGAAGGGGCAUGCAUAGCUUCUCAUAACCACAAUGAAUGAAUGUUUGGAUUACAUUUUUCUGGAUUUUUUGUAAAAAAAUUACUGUAGCAAUUUGAUAUUUGUGAGAUAAAAAGGUGAUUGAAAAAUGUGUUCACAGAAAAUUGCUAUCCAAACAAAUUAAUCAGUCCAACGUAUUUAGUCUCACAAGCAAAGAUUCUCCUACAACGUGUACAGAGACUUAAUUGUUGACUUUAUUUUUUCAAGACGACAACUGUAGUAUAUCCUAAUCUAUCCUACACUAGGGGGAAGGGGUGGAUCUAAGGAGGUCCAGGGGUAAUUCGGAGGGGACUGAACCAUCACCGGACCAAACGGUGCACUAUACACCCGCCUGGAUUUUUUAAAACAAAUUCACAUAUUAAUGUGGGAAUUGAUGGAAGGCAAGAUUUGAACCCUUACCUCACACUUUGGACUGGUGGUUGACUGAGUAAAGCUAAAAAAGCAUUAUUUCCUAGUAGGUGGAAAAGCAAUAGCGCUUCAUUUUUAGUUUUAUAAAUAUGAGCUCAAGACAUUAACAUAUUUAGGAUUUCACAUGACAAUUCGUAGCAAUACGUGUGUUCAAGAGAAUUUUCCCAACAUUCCGCCUACUAAUGAGUGGGAAUACCUCACAUGGACAUGACUUACCUUUUGGAAGAAAAGAUAGUGAAAGUAAGAUGGAAAAUCAGUGGGGAGAAAAGAUAGUGUGAAAGUAAGACGACAAGUGGGAGGCUAGGGUAAUAACUGCUUUUAUAGCAAUUUGAAAUCGUUACAUGACAGGUAAUUACUUGCAUAAUUACUGAUUGGAAGUAUCAAGGAAGUAUCAAUUGUGGGUGUGAAGAUGACUCUUUGCCGGCUACACUCAUAGAGGACAUUAGACAGCUUAGGAAUACGAAAUUCUACAUUUUUCUAUUAUCACUCUAGUAUGAUAGGCAUAGUACACUAUCACACUUCAAUUAAUUCCAGUAACAAAAGUUUUGUAGAACUACUAACUAUAUACUUGACAUGUUUCAUCAGCUUCACCUUUUCUUUUAUCAUCGUUUUAUUGCAUGAAACUGUGGUACUUCUCCACCAAGCAGUUAAGCAUUGCCUUCUUAUUUUCUUCUUGUUUUGUGGACCAUCGUGUUGGAUUGCUGUAUCAUUGUUGAUACAGUAACUCGUAGCACAGCGUUUGUUGAACGAAGAGUUACUGUAUCUUUGUUGAUCUCUUUGUGAACAAAGUCAAGCAAAGCGUUCGUUGAACGCUGAGUUAUUGUUGAUCUACGUUUCUCUGUGACUCUUUAACACAAUCAAACUCCUUGCUUGCAAACAAACAACGGAUCAAAAUUGACUAGAAGAUUUGAUUUCAAUUUUGGAGUUUUAAGAACUCUUAAGUUUCAUAUCGUAUACGAUAUUAGGCUGUCUUUCCACCAAAUACUUAAGAUUUGUAACUAAAUUUGUACUUGGAAAACUUUGAGAUAUAUAUAUAUAUAUUAUGUUUCUGAAUAUUUAGAUGAUUAGACGGGCUAAAUUAUGUGAUGUAGAUGCUAGAAUUUGCCAACAAAACUAAUUAGUUUUCUUUUAAUCCUCUCACCCCUCCUCACAUUCUCUUCAUCUCAACUGUCAGACAUAAUAUUCGAAUCUUGAACUUAGUACGUAAUAAAAAAAUACUCUAAGAGCUCUUUUCUAACCAUUGGGCUGACCCCUAGUGUUUUAAUUAAUUAAUUUUGUAAAAUGUUGAAUCAUGUAAGAAUGAUUUUAAUUGUGUAAAAUGUUUAACUAGUUAUGUGUAUCGAGUUGAGUCAGCUUAUAAAUAUGCAGGUUAUGACACAACACAAGAGUGUAGUAUGUUGGGUUGGGAGUGAGGUUUCUUGAUACGAACGCAACAACGACGUGACACGAUAAAAAACAUAACAAGACCCAAUUGCCAUUGCAUCUUUAAAAUUCGGACAUUUUCACCGAAUAAAGAUUGGCCCUACAGUCUAAAGAUUGGACAUUUUCCCUUCUGAAGUUUGGAAAUAUGAAAUAGUUAUACAAGUGGAUGAGAUCAUGUAUAUAUUGCACCAAAAGAUGUUUAUUUAGUCGUUUUUGGACAUAUUAAUGAAGGGUAAAUAUAAAUCAUUUUUUGUAGGGUAACAACUGUUAAUUUAUUAGAUGGGUUUUUCUAACAAGUGCCUAUUAAUUCCACCUAACCUAUCAUGUAUAUACAGAUACUAACAAUUGUUACCUUCUUUUAUAUUUAUACACUUUUCCUUAUUAAUCUUACAUUUUAAAAAAUUUAACACAUGAAAUAUAUCUUAAUGAGUAUCCAUUGGACACCCGUUAGUCAAACAUAUUAUUUAGAAGGGUAAAUUAUUUAUAACCCCCUAUAAUUUUAUGUAGUGCUAGAUGAUCUCCCUAAUAUUUCAAAAUAGUCACAUAAUCCCAUAUGGUUUUAUGCAAAGUGAAAAAUGGAUGAAAUGCAUAAUCAGUUUCGGCAUUUAUACCAAAUACAUAUGAAAAAAUUUUAAUUUUCAUGUAACCCUCUUAUAAUUUGUAUAAAUAUCCACUUUUCUCUCUUGUGAUUUUUGCAUUUAUCCUUGUAAUCCCCUAUAUUUUUAUACAAGGUAGUUAAGCCAUCAAUUGAUUUAGCAUUUAAGUAAAGGUACUAUGAAUAUUUUAAUUAAUAAUGUUACAUAGGUUAUUUUCCGUAAAGUUUUCACUUUACAUAAAACAUAGGGGGGUAAAAUAGAUAUUUUGAAAUGUUAGGUAGGCCAUUUGGCAUUAAAUGAAACCACAUGGGGUUAUAUGUAAUUUACCCUAUUUAGAAUAAUACUAGCUUACUGGUACAUAAUUAAAUAAGGUCUAUAUUCCAUUAGAUUUUGUUUUUAAAAUUUGAAAAUUUAACUCCACAUUUUACCGGCCAAAAGGGUCAUACAAUGGUUCAAGGCUAUCACAUACAAGUGACGAUGAAGACCACCGCAUGUAACAGGUAAAAAUAAUCUUUGAUAAAAAAAUUCAAGCGAAACUAUGUUCCCUCGCUAUUUUGCUUUUGCUAUUCAUCACUUUCCUACAACCCUUCGAUGCUGAAUACAGCUGGGAUGCCAAACUUCGAGCUGAAAUAUUCCCCAGAUCGAUUUACUAUGUACCUAUCCCAAGAAAUCUACCAUUGCCAUAUCUCUUUGCUCUAAAAUCUCUCCCCUUCAAUCCCGAGGAAUUGUGGACCAUGACAAUACUAAUAACUUCGAAAUUAAGGAACGUCAUACGUUUCUUUGGCUUCUAGACUUCUAGUAGUAUGAAAGGCCAAAAUUGGUCCUCCAAUUAAGAUGUAGUAUUAAAUUACUGUAACGCAAUUACAAGUGUCUUCAGCAAAAUAUGUUUCUGAACUAUUUGAAGGAAACAAAGAAAGUCCCAGGAAAUCCGAUUCUUCAGGAAAAAAUAAUAAUAAGCUGUAUAUCAAAUUAAGAUAGUCAUUAAGCGAGAGUGUUACAGAGGUGAGAGUCCAAACGAAUACUUUAAUUACAUUGGUUGGAUGUUCAUAGUAUCAAGGUGAUGAUUCACCAUGUUAGAGUAGUUACUAAUCCGAGAUUGAUGCUGUGAGAAGUGGUUACAUCUUAUGCUAAAGAAGUACUCUACAGAUUAGAUGAUUUGAUGAUUCGUUAUAGAGAUUUAGUGCGUCUUAAAAAUCCUGGAAACAGCUUUUUGUUAACUUUAAAAAUAUUGAUCAGAUAAAGAAAACCAUUUUGGAGAAUUGGUGCAUGUUAAAAAAGGGGUUUUGUGAGGCCGGAAAUAUUGAAAUAUAGAAAUUUUGGUAACACGCUAUAGUCUAGUUGGAGUUGAGUGGUACACACUAGAUUGUCAUGGCAUGUCUUAUUUCAUUGACGGUUGAAAAUUUGUAUGCACUGACAAUGUAAGCACCGCAAUGAUUUUUUUACACUAAUAGUUUUGAAUGUAUGUCACAUGUGCAUUAUUUGAAUUUCAAAUUUUUGAAUUUAUAUUACGUGAUAUGAUCUAAACCUAUUAGUGAUAGCGUAUAAAAAAAGUUAGGGCAAAUUACAUUUUACUCCCUAUAGUUUAGUAUUUUUAUACAUAACCCCCUUAUGGUUUCAAAAAUUAUAUAACACUCCCUCAUGGUUUAGAUUAAAAAUGUCAAAAUGAUGCAAAUAAUCAUUCGUAACGAAACCUUUAAAAAUGUUGAAAUUACCCUUGUUUAAAAAUUAAAAUGAUUGAAAUGACCAAAAUAUAUAAACAUAAUAUACAUGACGUAUUAACCCGAUAUGAUUUUAUGUUUUACCAUAUAACCUCUUUAUGGUUUAAUACUUUACCAUAUAACCCCUUAUGAUUUUCAAAAUAUACACAUAAUCUCCUUGUGGUUAAUAAAUAAUUUUCAACUUUACAUAGGGUAUUUUUGACAUUUUAGAUGACUCUGUUAUGGAUUGCAAAUUUCGUUAUUUUGACACUUUAAUUCAAACUAUGAGGGGGUUAUGUAUAGUUUUUAAAAUCAUAGGGAGUUAUGUACAAAAAUACUAAACAUAGGGGGGUAAAGUGUAAUUUGUCCAAAAAGUUAUCCUUAAAACAAUGCAGUGAAAAAUUGUGUGCUAAAUCUGUUCUUUGUCCCUUGAAAAUAUCCGUGGUUGCUGAAAAGGUUCUGCGCCUAGUAGUUCCUAAUGAUCUGAUUGAUUGAUCAAAUUUGUAACUAGUAGUAGCCAUUAAUAAACUUCUAACGUUUCCGAAAAAAAAAAAAAUAGCCAUUAAUAAAGUUGGUAUACCAAAAUUCAUUUCUCGAAGUUAGUUAGCUGAUGUGGCAAAGUCGCGGUGAGUUUGAAACUCACAACCGCCUGUACUAUUGGUUGUUCAAUAUUGAAAAAAAAUAUAUUGCAGUUUCAUACAUUACAAAGUGAUCCAAACCUCAUAAGCAGCUAUUACCAAUGUUUUUAAACUUGGAUCGGACCGUCAAGUUCAAUUGAUCGAAUUGGAAACUGGCCAGCUAUCCAGUUCAAAUCAUCUUAAAAAAUUGCAUAUCAAAAAUUUGAUCAAAUCCGAUCAAAAACCGGGUUAUCGGGUUUGAUCAUAAAACAAGUAAGACCGGUCAGUUUUAUACAUUUUUUUGGCUGUAUUUUUUCCCGUUGCUGAUUUCUUUUUCUUUUUCCCAAAAUUUUCUUCAUCUUUAAAGCCUGAAUUUGAUCCCUCCAACAAUUUGGUAAUAUGUAUUGGAAAUCACAAGCAAAAAGUUCUAAGAGAAAAUAACAAAAAAGGAAGAGAGAGGAUAGAUCUAUGAAUAUAUCUUCAUUAUCAUCUUCUAAGGAUUUAGAUCUAAAUGAAAAAGAAGAAAGAAAGAAAUUAACAAAAAGAAUGAAAAUAAAGGAAGAGAGAAGGAAUCUUGCCUAUUUGAAGAAAAGAAACAAAAAAGAAAAUCAUAAAAUGAAAGGAAAAAAAAAAGAAUGCAGAGAAUGAAACCUUCAAGUAAUUUGGUGAUGAUGCAUGCUGGUGAUCUGAUGAUGUCGUGUUUUUUCUUUUUCCUUUUUAAUUUGGUGAAUUUCUGUUUUCUAAUAACAUUGGUUGAAGUUGAUUGGAAAAAGCAAAAAAAAAUGGAAACACUGGUUGAAGGUUGAAGAAAAGAAGAGAAAGAAGAAUGAGGCGGAAAUGUUUCCGCCUGGUGCAUGAGGAAUUAAUGGAGUCAAAGUAUAGGGGAUAGGUGUUUGGACCGAAUGAAGAGCAGGAAAAUAAAAGAUAAGGCCAGGUGGACAACUGCCUUCCAAGUCUAAAACUUUUCUAAUUUUGUGUUUUGACCCUUUUAUGUUUUGAACAAUUACAAUUAUGCUUGCAAAUUUCUUUUAUAAUUCUUGUGUUCAACUUUAGCUUUUGCACUUUGUACAAAAAAAGUCUCAAUUUUGUCUAAAAACUUAUCAUGAAUUGCAUUUGAACUUUAUAAACAUUAACAAAUUAAUUUAAAAUUUGAUUGUUCAAUUUUUAUUUAAAUUUCGUAUUAAGUAUUUGAUAUUGAUUUGUCAUUUUGUUCAAUUUGUAACUCAAUUGUGUUUUAAAAAUUUGAUGUGAUGCAAGGACUAUGAGGUGAAAAUGAACCUAAUUAAUAUAUUAAUUGUAUUUUUCUAUAUUUUUUAUUUUAAAAAAUUAAUAUAUAUUUAUGACGUCAUAAUGACAUCAUCCGAUUUUUAAUACUGCUCCGACUCGAUCGAACCCAUUAACCCCUAAUCCCUAAGUUCGGUCCAAUCGCUUGCCGGUCCUAGUUUCAAAACAUAGGCUAUUACCCCCUAUUUCUUCCUAAACCCUCUUUCAUAUCCAACGCCUCCCUCUUCUUCUCCUACCGAGCAACCUCUAUUUCUUCUUUUGACAUACAUGAACAAUAGAAAUUUGUAAUUGGGUUGUAUAAAAACAUUAAAAAAAGAGUUCAUAAGAAAACUCACCCCCUCUGAUGAAUCUACCAAUAAUGAAACCCAACUUCAAAAAAUAAUCCGAUCACUCCUACCCACUCAAGCUUAAUGCAUGUCAGCAGAAAUUCACAAUCAUCAUCCUAUUGUUUUCUUUUCUUUUUUGGUCAUCCUUUCUUUAUGUUGUUCAGAUAUAGUAAAAAAUUAUUAAUUUUGUAAAGAAAAAUAAAGAUGGAAAAAAAUCAACCUAGGACCAACAAAUUACAAGCUUGAUCCUGGACUAUGUAGUCAAUGGAACAUCCAGCUGGGUUGUGGACUUGUGGUGGUAUUGGUGAAAAGGUGUAUCGAGAAUUGUAAAAGAAAGUAUUGAAGUAGAAGUACCAAGGACUGGUGUAAAAGAAAGUUGAGUUACUUUGGGUCGAAAAUGAAAAUGACUAAAAUUUAACUAGCUCGUCCGCUGCCCAUUUUGUUCAAAAUACUUUGGACGGUAGUGAUUAGUCCGUGAUUCCUCUCAGAACUAGUGUUGCAAUCCGUGCUAAUGCACGGAUUUACGUUUAAUCUAAUAAUAAUAGUAAAUAAAUUAUUUAUAUUAGUUACAUGAAAAAGGUUUAAAAAUUAAAAGAGUGUUAUUUUAGUGUCUAAUUUAUAUUGUUUAUGUACCUUAUCUAAAAAUAUGAACAAAUGUCACAAAAAUAUUUAAAGAAAUACUAAAAGCACACCAAAGAAAAAUUGUUACUCCUUCCUUUCAUAUUCUCUUUUUUUGCGUCACUUUCCAUUCCCCUACCUUUCAUUACCCUUUUCCACACCUUUCUAACCCAAACUUCCCAUAUCCCUCCAACUCUUCUCUCUCCCACAAACUCUACAUUUCUUUCACCCUACCCUGCUUCUAUUAAAUUGUGCAAUCUCUUACCAAAUUUCGUAACCUUUUUACCACCUAUCCUAUUACUCUUUGAGUUUAUUGCCAAAAUAACUCUUCUUUUGAAACAUAUACCCAAAGUAAUCUAAUUUUAAAAUUUAUUACCUUUAUAAUUCUUUUUUUUCCACAUAGGUUGCAUAUGUGGUAGGAUAGAGAUAGAGACACGUACUAUCUCCCUUUCCCAAUUAAUAUCUUCCCUGAUUCUCUCUCUGAACCUACCCACUUUUUUUUCCUUUAUUAUUUUUUGUCCUUUAGUUAUUUUUCCUUGUCAAAUGUAAUUGUUAAAAGUCAAUAUUUUUAUUAACAACAUCUAAAACUUCAUUAUCAUUCCUGAUAUUAUGAAAAUAUUCUCCUCGAAUUGAUAAUUUCAAGAUAAAUGAAGAUUAUUCUCUUGCCUUUUCUGUUGUGCAGUUUUUGGAACAUUCCUAUGGCCUUUAAAAAAUUUUGAAUACUAAUUGCUUUAACAAAUGAUUUCUCAUACCGUGUGCUUGAUAAAAUGUCUAAGAGGAAAACUACGUAACAACAUAAAUUCAUGCUCAAUAUAAGCAUGUUCAUUUGUAGUGCGUCUCUAUCACAUAAUCAAAUAAUCUCGUAUACUUGAAGUAUUUUUGCACAUUUAUUCAACAUCAAUUAAUGGCUUGUGUUACUUUUGAGAAACUUUAGCAUUAUCUUAAUUGCAAUAGUUUGAUUACUUAUUGUAAAAGUACUUUUCAAGGAGUAGAAAGCAUAACAUAAACAAAUAUGAUAACCUUGAAGUUUUUUAACUUUUUCUUAUUAUUGCUUAUAAUGUUCAUUGCAAUUUUUGUAUUUUGCAAAUUUAUUUUUGAAAAAAUAUAUGCAAUAAGUUUGAUACAUUUAAAAAAAUUGCAGAGAGCAAUAAUAGCAAGGUCAAUAAUGGUAAAAUUUAUUUUAAAUAAUUAUAAGGAAAUUAUCAAAGUUAUGCAAUUUUCUUGUGCCUCUAUAAUAAAACAGUUUAAUUUUUUAGUUUUUAUUGGAAACUAUAAACUAGAUUAAAGCUUUCCUUUCUUGUUAUCCUACAUGGCAAUCAGGGUAAUUAGGUGGCAACAAUAACAUCGAUUUGGGAAUAAAAUUUGAAAGUGAAUCACAUUGGGAAUAUUUUUUAGAAAGAGUGUUAUUUUGGCAAAAAACUCGUUACUCUUUUCACCCAUAUAUAAUUGUAAAUAAUGACUAAUUUUUCAACUUGUUCUUCAACAAAUGAGUAUGGGUAUGCAAUUUAUAUUAAUUUCAAAUGGAUAAUCCAAUUAAACUCAUUAAUUAGUGGCUAUUAAAUAGAUAGAUUGAGACCGCCUAUUUAGACCUAAUUAAAUUAGACAUAGAUUCAAAUUAAUUAGUAAGUAAAUUUAAAUCACUACAAAUUCAAUAAUUAUAUUCUACUUUUUGCAAAGGCAUAUUUAAUGUUCUUUUUCUAUUCUUUAAUUUUUAAUUUUUGUUAAAUUUUGUCCUACUUCCUUCCUCCCUUCCAUCAAAGUUUUAAUUAACUCAUUAAGUGUUAAUUGAUUUCUUACAUUCACACCUCAAUUAUUUUGAGAUUUUUGUAGAGUGACAAAAUUGAAACUCCUUAGGAUCACUACUAUUGGUUCUUCUGUGUAAUUUUUUUUUAUUUUUAGGUAAAAUUUAUUAAUUAAUUUAAUGUGUUCUUAUUUUUGUUGAUUACAAUGAUAUUUUAUUUUAUUGCUCAAAGAAUAUGGGAGAAAAAUAAAUAAAAUUUUGUAGUGGAUUGUAAAUGGGUAAGAUAACCAAAACCAUGUAAAACUAUAUCAGUUUAACCCACAUAAAUCACCUAUUUUGAUUGUUUUAUCCCAACCUACGACUACAGCUCCCCAACCCUAUACUCCUAUCUUUGAAUUCCUUUUAUUAUUUAAGAUUCAUUACCUUACUUUUACCCUUCCCAACCCUACACUCCAAUCUUUCUAUUCCUUUUAUUAUUUAGAAUUCAUUACCUCGCUUUUCAAGUGUUUUUUUUCCAAUAAAAAAGUCAUCAAGGAAAAGUAAUUGGGUAUAAUUUUGAUGAAAUACUACAAUUUUUUGUGACGAUCACCCAAGAUAAUUGUUUAAACAAAUAUUUAUUUUAAAAUUUUUGAUAAACUACUCCAAAAACAGCAAUCUAAAUGACCCUUUUAUUAAUUUGAAAUUCAUACAAAAUUUUGUUUUAUGUGCACUUUCAUUAUAUGCAAAAUUAUCCAGAUGAAGUUUUGCACAUAUCAAAAAUUAUCUAGAUGACGUUGUAUGUUAGAAUGUUUAUUUCAUUGGUUGGAAUAAUCAUCUAAUUGGAUAAGUUUAAGGCCAAAAAAAUUAAUUUAGUUGCAAUAGGUAAAAUGGUUAAAAAAUGGUUAUAAUUGGAUAUGUUAUUUGAAUGUUUGACAAAUCUAUGUAUAUACCUGGAAGGAAAGUGCUAAAAAUGUUACUAUAUAAAUGAUUAAUAAAUGGGACUAAUCACAUUAUUCUUCAGAUUUGACAAAUCAAUCUUUAUUAAUCAAGGAAUAAAAUGGGUUAAAGUGAUAAAGUUGUAAUGGGGUGAAUGAUUUUAAUAUGAGACUUAUCAAAUUUUCCAAAUUUAUUUUCUUUACUUAUGGAAGGAAAAAGGGGGUUAAAGUUUGAAAAUAAACUAUAAACGAUUUAUAAAGAACUCAUUUGAAGUGGGAAAAAAAGUUUUAAAUUUUAAAUUUGAAUUGUCAUAGGAUUAAUUGUAAACCACUAUUUCAAACUUUUUAAUUGAAUUUAUGUAUUAAAAUAAAUGAAAAAUCUAGAAAGAAAUAAGUAUAGAAGAUUUGGAAACCAUUCAAGAGGCCUUCACUAAAACCUCCCCUGCAAUAUAUAUAGAUAUAGAUUACGGACCGUCAUGUAUGUAUUUUCCUUUCCCUUUUGUAAUCUUUCUGCUACUCUCGGAAAUAACCCAAUGUACUCAGCCAUUUCCUUCGACAUUUGUUCUUCACCAAUAAUUCGACUUUCUGGGAAAUUGGCUUUUGAGGCCUUUACUGCCUUCCUGCUGAUCAGGUUCUAUUUCCCUCAAGGAUAAUAUCAGUUCUUGCAUCAGGUUCUGUGCACCACUGAUGAUUGUCAAUCUUCUUUCUUAAUAUGAUUUUCUAAUAAAAUCCUCAAUGAUUGAAAUUUUAAUUCUACAUGUUUUACAGUGGAUUUGAAAUGUGAUACUCUUAAUCAGUUUCUCUUCCACUAUGCAAUUAAGGAUCUCUUCUUCUUUCCUUGUUGUUUCCGGGACACAAAGCCCAUUUAGUCAAAAUAAAAAAACAGCUUUGGUCAGAACUUUGGUAUAUUUGUCUUUAUGAAGCUCCAUAAAAUCAAAUUGCUCCCUUCUUUUCAACACCUUCGCCACUUUCGGCACCAAGCAUGCCAUUGUCCCUUUAAACUUGGUCGGCCACUGCAGAGAAAAAUUAUCAGAAUAUUGCAUCACCAGAUAUUCGGACUUUCUUUCACCAGCUAUUUUUUGGAUAUAGUAGUAAAUGUUAGUUUUUAAUCGUUUUGUAUUGGAACAAUUAUCACAUAUAUGCGUCAAUAUGUGUGUUUGUUGGGUUUCGAGUUUCGAAUUUUUAAGGUUCCUUUACCAAAUCUAUCGAAUUAUCCGUUAGUUACUCCUCAUCAUUAAUAUCAAACUCUAACCGAUUACCCAUCGGUCGUCUAAUCAAAUUAACCAUUGGAUCAAAUAUCCAUGAAUAUCGAAUUUUACCCUACCCAUUGCCAUCUCUAGAUUCUUAUGUUGAAAAACUAUGAACUCUACGUGACACUUUGGCUGUCUUAUUCCCAGGGUAAGGGCUCACGGCAAAGACCAACUCCAGAAUCUGCGAUUGCUGCUUGCCAUUCUUAUCUAUCGCUGCUUCCUAUGCUCGAAAGCGUGUGGACUAGUUUUUCUCUAUAGGAAUCAGAGGAAUGAUCGAACCAUUAGCUUGCGUUUUGUUUUUUUCUUUUUUUUCAAAUGGUGAGCGGGUGAUUCGAAGAUCCUAUCAUGCAGUGUCCAAUUCAUCAACCGAUCAUUCUUGUGAUGGUAUGGUGGCUGUCUAGUGAUGCCUAAGGCUAAUGGUGAUUGGGCGAUCGAACGGCGACUGUCGUACGAAAGAGUCGUACAGAACAGGAAAAAGGUUAACAUUUUCGAACAAGCAACCUAGUGAUGAAAUAGUCCUAAAUUAUUGUAAAGUCUAAAGCGAGCCCUUUGAUUUUACUUUCGAGCUUUUUUUGUCUUUAGAACAUUUCAAUUUUAGGAGGACUACAGUAUUACAUAUGCAUCAACCAUCAGGCGAUGGCUAAUCUCAAGUGUUUAAAUAUGUUCUUGGAUCCAAAAUGGUUUAUCUCAAUCAAGUUGAACUCGAGGACAAUUGUAUUUGAUAAAGCUAAAAUCCAUCAUAUUUUGUUCUUUAUUAAACUGUAGGAACUUUUAUUAUUCACAUAGAGAAAAUGAAGACAAAGCAGAAAUGACUCAAAAUCUUGGUAACAAUCAAGAAUGACGAAACUACUGCCUACAUCAUGUUUGUUUUAAUCAACAAGCAACAUAAAACGGCAGACCACUCCAAAUGGUCAGUUCAGUCUCAAAUCUGCUAUGGAGUUAAUCUGCUCAAGUAGAGAUCCGGAAAGUAUUGUCUAGUAACAGGGCGGGACACUUUCUUUGGCUGGCAUGCCGGGAUAAACUUCCCACAAAAGGCAAUCUUUUCAAGAAAACAAUAGUACAGGAUGAGUCUCCUCCUUUCUGUGAAUACAGUUAAGGAAGACACUUAUCAUGUACUGGUUUUCUGCCCUCAUGCUAGCGCCUUAUGGAGCAGCCUUUCUAUUCUAUUAGCGAUACUAUCAGAGCGAUAAUCUUCCUGUCAAAACAAUUUUUAUUCAAAUAUCUAACAUUACCCUUAACUAGUCAAUCUUCCUGUCUUUUCCUUUUCUCUCUAAUUAAUUGACUAUUUUGCCUUCUUCGUAUCUCUUUUUAAUUUAUUUAUCUAUUAUUUUCACAAUUCACUGAUUUGGUUUUGGGUUUUCUACUAUAAUCUUUUCUUAUAUUGUAAUUCUUUUGCUUUAAAGUGCUCUUAUUUUUUUAUUUUCAAAAUUGUAUUUAAAAGUUAUUUUUUUGCAAAUACAACAUUAUUUAACUCAGACAACUAACAAUCUAAACGAAAAUAAUCCAAAAAAACAUAAACACACUUUACCUUCAAUGUUUAUGGGAUGUAGAACAUAAUGCAAUUAAAAUUACUUUAAUCUAGUUAUUAAAAAUAUGGACAUAUAUUGACGUUAAGAUUGACACAAUAAUUGAACAACUCAUGAUUUACUCCUAUGCAAGCAACAAGUCACAAGACUUACUGAUGUUCUAUAAUUGAACCCAAAUUCAUAGUAAUACAAAACCUAAAAGGAAAAAAUUUAUACAGAAUCGAUAAUCUGAUAGUACUGGAGUGAAUUGCAAAAAAACAAAAACAAAACAAAACGUACAAUAUUGCUAUAAUUGCAACAAAAAUUACUCAAAAGAUGAGAACUUGAAUCUCAUUGUAAUUGCAACGAAAUUGUAUCCCAAAUUUAAUCAAAGUUUAUGAUCACUCCAAAAACUGUAAGCAAAGAUUAUUUGAUAUAAAACAUAAUGGAAAAAAAACUAAAAAAGAAAAGAAAAAAGCAGGAAAAAACUUAUUCGUAGUGAUGAAGAAAUGGCAAAAGCGACACAGAGAAGAAUAUUAUACAAAAGGUUUUGAACCACAUUCUGCAAAUGUCUCAAGAAAAUGAAGAGAAAUUAUAAAAUAGGAAAGAUGUAGAGAGAACCGAAUGCGGGAAUUGGAGGGGAAAUGAGAGAAAAAAAAACUCAUUGCUGCAUUAAUAAGAAAAAGGAAGAAUAAGAACAAUCAAUGGACAAUGGGCCUCAACAAAAUUAAUGGGAAUAUAUAAGGUUGACUAAUUGAAGAUAAUGUUGGUAUUUAAAUAAAAAUUGUUCUGACAUAGAGAUUAUAACUCUGGCAGUAUAGCCAGCCUUUCUAUUCCCACGAAUAUUUGGCCAUUUACAGGCCAAAAUCUUUGCACUUGGCUAAAUCAAAUUUGUUCAAUUUCUGCUUCAACACCCUUUUGUAAUCAGCCGUAGGGUUCCAUAAUGGCCUUUGAUUGUUGGUUGUUAUGGAAGGAAAGAAACGAGCACCUGUUUGACCCCUAAGUCCAUUCAAACAACUUAACUCGAGUCACAAUGCCCGAACUCGGCCCGUUUGGCCCAAAAAGCUCACUGAGUCCAAGUUUUAAUUGGGCUGAGCAGAAUUUGGAUUUAAAUAUUAAGUUCAAACUAAAUAUGAACCGAGUUUGAAUCAUACUAAAUUCAGGCUCAAUUAAAGCUUAGCCCAUAUAUGAGUAUAAUUAUAUAUGUAAAAAAUGUAUAAUUAUAUAUAUUACAGAAUAAAAUGUUAAUAAUUUAUAUUAAAUUUGUAUUAAUUCAUAAUUAUAAAAAAAUAUAUUAUGUAUUUAUUAUGAGUUUGAGUUAAGCCCGAUUUGAGCCCAAAACUUAUAUAAUAGUGUGAGCUAAGUUUAAGUCUUUUAAUAUGAGUUAAAUCCCAAAAGGUCAAAGUCCAAAAAUUCAUAUAAUUUGUGAGCCAAGUUUGAGCUUAUGAAAGCUCGAUUCAAAAAGCCCAAUUGACAUCGCUAACUGUAACUAAAUUUCUAAACUUGGGUUCUACCAAUGGAAGGAUCUUUUGGCACAAAGAGGAUGUUUCAGUAUUUAGGGAACCCCUUCCAUUUUCCUUCAAGCUCAACACUGAUGGAGCUUCUUUUGGGAAUCUGGCCCAGAAGGAGCAGGAGUCAUUCGAAAUCGUCAUGGGGAAGGGACAAGCGGUUGUAGUAGAAGGUUGGACUUGGCUACAAAUACUGUUGCUGAGUCCCUAAAUAUCAGCCAGCUCCAUAUUGUGAUGGUUGCAAAAGUUAUUGUUGACAUGCUUUCUAAUGGAUUUUGUGAAGCUCACACGAACCUUCUUAUUCUAAAUGAUGGCAGGACUGUACGCAGAGUUUUCCAGCAACUACCCGUGUCUUCGGAAGCUAACAGUUGUGCAGACUUUUUGGCCAAAUUGGGCGCAGAAGCUGUAGAAGACUUUCUUUUAUUUCCUUGUAAACCUGUGGCCAUUUCCAAACUUGUUGAAAAUGAUUGUAGGGGCUUUUGCAUGCCUCUUUUCGUAAGCUGUCUUUAAUUUAAGGUAAUGCUCAAUCUUUUGUACCAAAAAAAAAAAAAAAAAGAAGCAAGUACAACAGGGGAAAUGUGCAAUAGUAACACAUGUUUUUGCGCACUUUUCCCCAGUGCAGGUAGUAAUUUCAUAGUAGAAGUUUGAAAAUUGAACAUAUAGAUAGACUAUUGGGUGAAAGGGGAAAAAAAAUUAAUGCAUUGAAUUUUGUUGAAAAAUUUUGCAGAUUGCAUCAAAUACUUGAAAAAUACCAUGAUCAAAAUAAUGAUUGUGUAUGGUCUCAUGAAACAAGUGGAUUGAGUCGAUAAUUAGAUCCGAUCCUAUUAUUUGAGAGGGAGCAUUGUUUACAUGGCAAGAAAAGAUGUAAUACUUAGACUCUUUAAGUGGUUAUGUAUGCAACAGAUCAUCUCAAUAUCAAGGUAAUAUGUCACUGAACACAUAACACAUAUAGUUCCGAGGCAACAACUUUCGACUUCAUUUGUCUUGAAGAUCAAGACUGCAAUUCUGUGGUUUAUCAGGAAGAACAAGGCCUCGUUGUAGCAUCCUUAGUAGCCAGUAUCAUCCUCAAAGGCUUCGCUAGGGCAGUGGCAGAGCUAGAAACCGAUAAUGAGUGAGGGCAAUAACCAAUAAAGUAAAUGACACAAAGUUGAAUGGAAAACAACUGUUUGCUCAAAGAUUAUUUUUAAUUAGUUUUCAAGUCUUCGGAAUUCCUUCUUAUUCAUGUGGUGUUUUCACUAUUAAAAAAAGGAUGAAGCUGAGUGAUUUUCAUUUGUUAGGGGAGGCAAUAUUGAGGUCAGUUCGAAUUUGAUAAAAUUGAGUCGUGAUUCAACUCGAUUCAACUCGACUCGUUUGCUGUGCUAGUUUAGAUGGUGCAAGUGUGAGUUAUUCUUGCGACCAACUUAAUGGCUUCUGUUUCUAAUCAUUAGCCCAAGUUAAAUGAGAUGUAAUGUUAAGGGUCCCUUUAAUUAUUGGACAAGGUAUGCAGCUUAAACAAAUUUAUCAUGUAGUAGCGUUGAUAAAUGACCCCUCCAUUUUCAUGGUUGAAGGUCGAAAACUGUAAUCAAUCCGGAUUCAAUCCAGAAGAAGAAGAUACAAAUGAUGCUGGGAUACCUUCCCAAGAAAUUGUUUACAUACACACUUAACUUAUUUAGCUAAGCAAUGAGCAACUCAAUUUGUCUAUUCCUAAAACCAAUCAAAAUGCUUUUCUGAUAAUAUGCAAAUUUUCUCAUGGUAUGAUGGGAGGGAUUAUAAAUAGAGUAAAUCUUAAAUACAUUAACAGUGUAUAUACUAUUAUCGUUAGAUUCAUGACAUGUGUGUAAAAAUUGAAUUUUAAAUUCAAAAUUUGCAUAAUUGUCAUCCAUUCAACACUGACAGUGGUAUAAAAAAGAUUAAUCCUUAUAAAUAGAUAAUUUUGGAUUAAAAAAAAAUUCUUGUGUCAAGAGGCGGCUCAGUAAUAGGCUAACAGCAGUACCUCAUUUAAAACUAAUAAUCCUAUCGGACUGAGACUUUUAGACUAAGUAGCUUCUUUUGCUGCCAAAAUUUGGGCCAACGGAGGAUUUGUAAUGAACUUAAUUAAUUAUGGUACCAUAAAAACAAAAAGACCGAAGGUAAUUAAAAUUGAGCACAGGCCAAGUCAAAUUUUACUGCCUUCCCCACUCGUCCUCGGGCAUGCGAUCCCUUUGAAUUGCCUUGUGAAAAGCCUCCAAAAAAUUUCAAUUAUAGAUUAAAACUCAUUGUUGGAUCAAAAUAUACUUCAAACAUUUCAAUGAAAAAGCUAAUGGGUUUGUCUACAAGAAAUUGACAAAAUAUUUUCAAAAAAAAGUUUGAAGAAGUGAAAAUAUUGACGAAGCUAUAUCAUAAAAAUUCAAAAAAAAUCCUCAAAUUAAUAAGACAAAAAAUAGGUAAAGGGGAAAAAGUUUAUAGUAGUAAUAGUUUAGAGGAACCUUAGGUAAUUUACCAAAAGUGUAAUCGACUAAUUUAUACCCCUUUCCUCAAAAAAAAGAAAAGACUAAUUUAUACACUUCGGUAGCUGCCAAAUAGAGCGCAAAAAUUUGCUAUACGAUAUUUACAUCCUAUAUUUUAUUAUACCCAAAAAGUCAUGAAGAAAAAGAAAAUCGAAAAAAAUUGACAUAUGAAUGACCACUUAACUUUUGCAUACUUUUGCAAGAAAUUAAAAAACUUUUUUCUUGGUAUAAUAAUUUUUCUUGAAAAAACUUUUGUAUUCUUUUCCUUGACAAAAAUGACUCUGGCAACAUAAUAUGAGAUGCUGCAAGUUAAAUACAGGAUAACUUGGAACACUGCUUAAUAGUAAGUUUACAAUCAGUUGCUAUGCCAAGGCAAUAUUAUGGCAUGGGAAAAUUGUUCAAAAUGUCCAUCACAUUUUACAAGAUGAUUUUUUUCGUCCCUUACUUUUAAAAGUGUAAUUUUACAUCCCUUACAAAUUCACAUUGAUCAAAUUUAGUCCCUACUUAGGUUUUCGACUAAUUUUUAACCGGAAUCUACCAUGUACCUUGCAUGUGAUCAUUUUUUAAGAGCAAAAUUAUCAAAUCAAAUUUUACAUAAUCCUAUUCAUAAUCCCUCAUAUUUCGCAAAAUGAAUUUUUUCGUCCAUAACAUUUUACAAAAUAAAUUAUUUCAUCCCUUACAUUUCACAAAAUUAAUUUUUUCAUCCCUCAUAUUUUUCAAAAUGAAUUUUUUCAUCUCUCAUUGAUCAUGUGUACGAAUAGUUUUUUUUUUUAAAUCCAUGUAUAUAUCUAUUUGAUUUUACAUGAACAGUACGAAUAGUAUAAAAUAUAUAUUUAUUUGAUUUCAUUUAAACAGGUUAAUCGUAAUUGUACAUAUGCUAUUCAACAUAUAUAUACAGGGGUUUAAAACUAAUAAUUUUGUUUUAAACCAUAUAUAUAUAUAUAUAUAUAUAUAUAUAUAUAUAUAUAUAUAUUUCUAGAUGAUUUCACCAUAUGAACCUAUUCAAUAUUUGUGACCUUUCUCUUUUGGUAAUAAUUUAUUUAUUGAGUUGUAUAAUAACGCCAUCUAAUUAAUGGAUCCUAACUUAAAUUCUAUAGUCGUGCUAAUAAAUUGUAAUUUAAAUUUGAAAUUUCUACUCACCACUUUUAAGACCAUCAGUUGAAUUAUUUGCCUUAUGAUUGUCUUCAAAUUUGAAAGUGCCAAGCACUUACUUUUUUUUAUCAUACUUUUCCUUUGUUUAUUUUUUUUGUCCAAAUUUAAUUCGAUAUAAACGCUCGCUAAUGUUUAGGAUUAAAUGUCUUCUUUGUUUUCAAUUUUCGAGUAAUGAAAUGAAUAUAAGUGAAAAACUAAUAAUUUUUUUAAAAAUCCAUGUAUAUAUCUAUUUGAUUUCACCUGAAUAAUAUGAAUAGCAUAUAAUAUAUCUCUAUUUGAUUUCAAAUAAAGAUAUAGUAUGUGUUAUCCAUGUAUAUAGUAUGUGUAAUUUAAAUUUGAAAUUUCUACUCACCACUUUUAAGACCAUCAGUUGAAUUAUUUGCCUUAUGAUUGUCUUCAAAUUUGAAAGUGCCAAGCACUUACUGUUUUUUUAUCAUACUUUUCCUUUGUUUAUUUUUUCUGUCCAGAUUUAAUUCGAUAUAAACGCUCGCUAAUGUUUAGGAUUAAAUGUCUUCUUUGUUUUCAAUUUUCGAGUAACGAAAUGAAUAUAAGUGAAAAACUAAUAAUUUUUUUAAAAAUCCAUGUAUAUAUCUAUUUGAUUUCACCUGAAUAAUAUGAAUAGCAUAUAAUAUAUCUCUAUUUGAUUUCAAAUAAAGAUAUAGUAUGUGUUAUUCGUACUAUUUAGGUGAAAUCAAACAUAUAUAUACAUGUGUUUAAAAAAAUUAUUCGCACACAUGAUCAAUAGGAAUGAAAAAAUCCAAUUUGAAAAAUGUGAACGAUGAAAAAAUUCAUUUUGUGAAAUGUGAAGGAUUAUAAAUCGAAUUAUGUAAAAUUUGAUUUGACAAUUUUGCUCUUAAAAAAUGAUCACAUGCAAGGCACGUGGUGGAUUCCAAUAAAAAAUUAGUCGGAAACCUAGAUAGAGAUCAAAUAUGACCAAUGUAACUUUAUAAGGGACGUAAAAUUACACUUUUAAAAGUGAGGGACGAAAAAAGUUAUUUUGUAAAAUGUAAAGGACGUUUUAAACGAUUUUCCCUUAUGGCAUAUUCACCAAAUUACAAACACAAUUAUUAGUUUACAGAAACAUGCAAAAUAAAUAGGUUAUACGUGCAAAAUUGGGCUGAAAGAUAGAUAGACCUAACUUGGUAUUCUACGAUCUAUACCGAAAAUUUUGGAUUAAAAAUUUAAGAGUUAAGUAUAAACUUUUUUAGGAUUAGUGUCACUUACUGCUAUUAAAAAGUGGUUGAAAACCAAAAUUUGAAUCUUUAAACUGAGAGAGAAAAAAAUCCCUCUAUUCGACUUUGAUAGUUUUAUUUUCCUUUUUCAUCCGUUCCAAACUAUAGUUCACUUUUCAAUUGAAGAAUAUAAUUAAUUUGUAAUUUCUCUAAAAAUACCCUUAUUUAAUGUACUUUAUUAUCAGUUAUAAUUUACUUUAUUCAUUAAUUGUUUGGAUUUAUUCCUUGAAUGGUGCAACUUUCCAUUGUGUUAUUGUUGUAAUUAAUGUAUAGGUAUAGUUAUUAGUCAUACUUCUAAUACUAAUGUAAGAGUAUUUUAUGAAACUAGUAAGCUAAAUUUACUCUUCCAACAAAGUUAAUUAAUUUUUUUUAAUUGUGUGAAAAAACCAAUACUAUCAAAAUGAGAGGAAGGAGUAUAAAUUGUGGUUCUUCAAUCGAACUCCAUCCAUAUUUUAAAAUAUGCAUUUAUGCCUCUGACUGACCCAUCAAAUAUCAAAAUUUGGAUGAAGUUUAGGAAUGGCAACGAGGUGAGGGACCUCUCCCUAGCCCCCUGCGUGGGGCACCUACAGGAUUUAUAAAAAAUUUUCAUAUAAUUUAAUUGUAGUCAAAUUUUAGCAAAUAAUUAAGUACUAAAAUAUCAACACAUUACCAAGUCAUUAUCCAUUGUAAUUUUACAAUUGAAAUCCAUAAAAAUAAUCAAACAAAAACUAUUUGAAUACAAUCCAACAUGAUGAAAUAAAUACAACUAAAGUAAUUAAGUUUUCACUUUUGAAAUAAAUACAAUCACUAAGUUAUUAUUGUAUUUUUUUGAGAAAAAGUAUUAUUGUGUUAAGUAUAAUUAGGAAUUUAGUAUAAAUGUAUUAGUUAAUUUAGUAUAACUAAUUAAUAAUUUCUAUUAAUAGACAUGUAUAAUUAUUAGUAUAAUUGAUAAUAUCAAUUAUAUUAUAUUACAUAUAUUAAUAUACAUUAUAUAAUACUUAUAACUAAUGAUAUCAUUAUUAUAAGUUUAUAAUUAAUUAAAUUAAAUAUUUUAUAUAUAUAUAUAUAUACACACACACUCCCCUGCCUCCCACCCCGUUUCUUAACAGGGAAAAAAUUCCCCCCCUCCCCUCCACCCCAACCCCCAUUCCAUUAGUCCAUGAGCACCCGCCUUAAUUGCCAUCCCUAAUGAAGUUGGAUGGAAGGACCAAAUUAGAACAAUUGUUUCAAUUUGGAUAAAAUCAGAACGUUUCUAAUUUAGAGGGCCAAAAUUUGAUUUUUACAUACUUUAGAGGGUCGGAUUGGCAUAAACGUUCCACCAAAAAACCCCUAUUUCUCGGGUUGGAACUGGAAACAGAGAGAUUCUGCAACUCUAAUAAACUGGCUUGAUAACUCUCUAUUUGAAAAAAAAAAAAAAGUAAUCAAGAUGAGGAAAAAUAAGCAAGAUGAACUGUGGGACGAUUCUGCCCUGAUUAACGCCUUCAAUGAUGCCAUCUCCAAGUACAAGGUUUGUCAACUCCUCUUCCUCCUUUAAACCUUUCUGGGUUUUGUUCUUUCUGCACCAAUAUUCUUUUGUUUGUCUUUUGGAACUCAGUUUUUUUUUUUUGUUUUUUUUGGAUAACUAUACCUAUAGUAAAAGAAAAGAAAGGAGUCAAGGAGCUUUAACUUUUGUUUUCGAUAGUGUACUGAAAUACUUCAUUUUCAUUAGGUGGUUCAGUGGUUGUUUUUGAGACAGAUUUGUUGAUUUAUCAUAAUCAUAUAUUCAUGCUCAUGUUUCUUUCAAUCUUGAUGAUUUCCAGAAAAUGCAUAUUCAAGGAAGCCAAGUCAGCUCAGCUGAUGGUCAAGAACAUGCUGGAAGGUGUGUUCAUAACUAACUGGAAAGCAAUCCCUUUUCUUACUCUUAUUUGUCUCAUUUUUCGUUUAUUUUGUCUAGGGGUUAGGGAAACUUGGUGGCCUGUGUAGAACGCAGUACUAGAAUUAGGAUGGGGGAGGGUUUCUUCUGUCUGGUCAAAGAUUCAUAAAGGGGAGAAAAUAGUUGGAGUUUUAACAAUUAACGUGAAUGAGAAUUGGACGGCUUCUUCACACUUUGUAUCAUGAACCAAGACUGAACCAAAAUGAAUUUCAUUUAGGAAGAGUUAUUGGCAUAUACUCGUAAUGUGUGAUAGGCAAAUAAAAACUGUAGUGACAGGAGUUUGGCAACUAUAACCGUUGAGCCAAUCUUUUUUUGUGUGUCUGUAUGGUGCUUGAUUGUUGAUAUUUUUCAUGUUUUGCGGAAGAACUCCAAUGUAUUUGUAAUUGUUGGGCUGAUAAUCUUCAUCAUAAGUCUGAUUUCUUCUUCUUUAUUGAUGAAGGGUUGAUGAGAUAAGUGAUGACAACAAGGUUCCAUCAAACAGCGCUGCUGAAACAGAAGAAAAUGGUAAUGUGCCAACUGUCAAAGAAUCAUCUUUUUUGGAAUCAGAAGCUCCUGAAGACCAUGUAGUUUCAUCUACUGGGCAAGACAUCCAUCAAGAGCCUGAGGGUUAUCUAAACUUGCAGACGACUGAACACUACAAUCAGUUGGUAAACAAAUAUUAUGAGCUUGAGGAUCAGAGGCAAAAGAUUCUGCAGCAACUUAACCAGUUUGGUUAUUGGAAUUAUGAUUCUGGUUUAACUGCUUCCGUGUCUCAAGAGCCUGAAACCUCUACUUCCCAAGCUUAUCCAACAGUUCCAAGUUCUUUCUGUCCUUAUGGGUGUCAAAGUUGGGUAGCUCCAUGCACUUCAGUACCUUGUUAUUUCUCUGGUGGAGCUUGUGCUGGAAACUCUUGCAAUGCUUCUGCAAAAGGUGCUACUUCUAAAAACUUAACAUCUCCAGGAGAAACUGAUUUUGUUAAAACAGCAAUGUUUGCUGCAGAACAAGCACUGUCUUCCUUGAAGGCACAAGCUUGCACUAAUUGUGAUGCUUCUGUAAAUGAAGGUAAAGAUGGCUUUCUUGCUUAUAACCUCAAACAAUGUAUAUACCACCCUCUUUGGGCACAAACCUGCAUCACCAUGACAUGAAUGUUAGAGAAAUAUAACUCAAAUGUUCUUGUAGUUAACAUGGCAUGUAUCAGCAAUGUCCUCAAUUGUCAAAUCUGCUGUGUUUAGUAAUCUAAUGAGCAUUGUUGCUCUGCUCCUGAUGGGUCCACUGGGUUGGGACAAGGGGGAAACGAAGGACUGAUGGUUCUAAAAAGUACUACUGAAUAUACCGGUAUAUCAUCUCUAUUUAAUUGGUGGUAACUUGAUACUUACAUAUUGUAGAAAUACAAAUAGUCCACAAAGCCUGAAGAUAAAAUCAACAAAAAGGAGGCAAUGGGAUUCUUCAAAAUUUUUGCGGGCUGUGGAUCUUCGUCUUGCUUCUGUAUCAGAUAUUUGCUGAUUAGGCUGAUUUUGGAGCGUCUAGUUGAACUACUGUAUUACAGCAUUAAGAUUUAAUUAAUAGCUUUUAGCUAUCAUGUCAUGGUAUGUUCGAUGAUGAAUCAAGUUUCUGCAUAUGGCUUAAUAAACACAGAAGUGAUUGUUGUAGUUGCCUUAUUGAACAACUGAUUGCUAUUUACUCUCGCAAUAGUCAAACCCUUACUGAUGCAUAUUGCCAAAUCAUAAUAAACAUUGCAUUUGGUUUAGCUUUUCUCGUAAUAAGUUAUUACACAAAUUGACAUUAUCAAGUAGUUUUAGGAUGACUGGCAGACUUUUUGGACAUUAGCAAACCGCAAUGUCAGAACUAAAUAUUGUACGUCUAUUCAGCACACUAGAUUUUUCAUAAUUCUUUUCCUUUUCUACUCUUUGGAGAUUACGAUGUGAAAAGUUUUUGGGCUUUUAUCUUUAAUUGUUAGGCAGUUUUGAGCUUGAAUUAUUGCUUUAUAAUUAGUGCUAUAAAGUAACCUUUUCCGACAUUUGUAUUCACUGAUAAAUUUACUGGGAGAAAAGAUUUUACAGUGACCAAUGUACUGAUCCUUAAUCUGUAGAACAGAAUGUUUGUUUCUUCUAAGAUAAUUUUUACUGGACUUCAAAGUAGAACAACAUGACACUACAUCUCUUAUUGGUGCAAAAUUCUUCAUCUUGUGAUAGUUGUCUAAGAUAUAAUUAUCCUAUGUAUUUGACUACUGUGUUUUAAUAUUUGCAAGUUUGACAUAUACGUAGGUUGCUAUGCCUGCACCUUGCGGAUUUAUGUUAUUCAAUUAUUUAGUAUGUUGGUGCCAUAAUAUGGUGAAACAAUCAUAUUUUGGAUCUACAUCUGAGGACUUUACUCAUUACUGCCUCCUCUACUUUUGUAAUUGAAUUGCAGGGAAAGAGAAACAGUCACAGAAAAAUUUCUGUCAUUUAGAGAAAAGUACCAGUUCGGAAACAGAUCUUACUGUUGUUUUGAAUGCUUGGUAUUCUGCUGGUUUCUACACUGGCAAGUAAGUAUGGAAGAGUCUCCUGUUUCGAUACCUUAAAUUAUGCUGCAUUCAGAGAGAAAUAAUUCUAAACCUGAUAUUGGCACUUAAAAUCAAUUGUGACAAAUUAUAUUCUUGUUUUGGUUUGAAGUAAGCUCUUGUGGUGGUCUAGUUCACUUGGAAGUUGCACUCAGCGAAAAAAAAUAACAUACAAAGCUAACUUCAUGUUGGGGUCACCUCGACAAAAUCCCAUAGGAAAUAGUGCUCAUUACCAGAAUAGCACAAAAAUGGAACUUGAUAACUCUGCUAAGUGAUUACAAUAUCUGCACAAGAGGCUUAUCAGCAGGCGAUAAAAUCUGUUAAAACAUUUUUUAGAUGUAUCUCUGGAACUUACAGCUUGGUUCCCAAGGUAGGUACAUGACUAGCUUAUCUGCUUUGUCUCAUGUUGGGUCUGGCUCUUUGAGGGUAACACUGAGACUACAAUCUGAAAUCUGCAUCUAAACUCCUUUGGGUUUCUUCCAUGAAAUUGUUGUUUUUAUUUUUUUUAAUCAAAUUUCAAAAAUUAUUGCACCUUUAUUUUGCCUUCCAAAACAAUGGAAGUCGACUUAAAGGAAAUAACCACGUUGUUCACUGUUUUGCCUCUCAUUCUUGCUUUGUGCUUUUUAAUUUGACUUCUCCUCCUCCUCUCUCUCUCUCUUCCCUUCCUCCCAGCAUCUAUGUCUUGGACAUCAACCAUUUUCCUUCAGCAUCUAUCUCCUCCAACAACAACCAGUUUAAGAUGCACAGACAUAGUCUAAAGCCUCCCUGACACCAUUUUAUGAUUAAAGAUCCAAACACGAACAACACAUGCAAAUAACAUGAAGUAAAAUAUUUUAACCGCUUAAAAAGCUGAACUCCAACACAAAUGACAUCCAGUUGCCCAGAUGAUGAAGUAAAAUAUUUUAACCUUUCUAACCUGAAGUUGUGGGCAACCAAUUUUAAGAUUAAAAAAUUACAUUCAUCAUAUGCCUUAAAUCAGCAAUUUAAAUGCAACCCACAUAGUUGAGUAUCUUCAUUAUAUAUUUGAACUUUUUCUAGAAACCUCCAUCCAAAUCAGUGGGAUUAUGGGAGUGUUCUUUCAUUCUCUUCAAGUGCAGAGGGGCUUGAGGGUGAACAAACGUGAGUUGCUGCCGCGGUAGCAAUGGUAGUUGCUGUCACAGAAGAAAUGUUAGUUGCUGCCGCAUUUUGAAGGGAGGCGUUGGGAGGUCUCUCUGAGCGGUGUUGGUGGUUUUGCCGGGGAUUGCCAUUGAAGUAUUAAAAGGAGCAUGAUGAGGGAGAGAUCAUAUAGUGAGGAUUAUUGGUGGUUUCACUCUAAAGUCUAUGUUCUGAUUAUCGACUUCAAAGUUGUUAUGGUUGAAGUUGAUUUUCAAGAUAUCGACUUCUAUAAUUUUGGUAAUUGCAAAAGCCCAAUAUUUCUUUAAAUUGAUUAAAAAAUAUCUAUGUAAAUACUCCCAUUACAUGUUGAUACUAAUCAUCCCUUCCCUCUGAGGGUUUAUCUUCCAUGGUUGACUUCUGUAUUGCUAGCCCAUUUUUUUUCCAAAUAUUAUCAGUUGUAAUGUUGUUAUUUCAGUUCAUGAUAAAUUUGAUGUCUUCGAUCUAAUAACACUUCCACAUUGUGAUCCAGGUAUCUUACCGAGCAGUCUUCUGCUAGGCACGGACAUGGCUAAGCCUCGCAUGUUUCAGCUAAGAAAAAUUGAAAUUUCAAGUAACUCGCAUCCAUGAUGCGUCCGAAGAAGAUCUUGCUCUACGAACAUCUAAUGGCAAACGAGAAGUGGUAUUAUGGUACCCAUGCUAUGACCAGGCAGCAAUGCCAUGGACUCUUUUGUUAGACAGCUAUGUGUGUGUUGCCUGAAUUGGUUUCACCUUUUUAGUUUCUUCUUCUCUGUACCAAGGGAUGUUUGAGUAUGUAUCAACGGAUCCUUGUAAAGUGGCAAUAUUGGCCAUUGGCAUCUUAUAAGAAAGCUAAUAUUCGGUACGUAGAAAAAUUGUCGUACUACAAUUGCGAAUCUGGUAGCGAAGAUAACGAGCUAAGCAACUUUCCGCCGGUAGUAAUUUGAUGCCACAAGCCAAAUCUAACAAAAACUGCUCUUCCGAAGGACUUGAGAACAACGUUGCCAGCCAAGCUCAACGAGUUGGAGUUGGAGUUGGAACUCGUACAAAAUCUCUCUUUUUCAGUUAAUGCUGAUCUGAGACUUUGUUCUGACAGGCAUUUAAAUGGCUGAACCUACUCCUAGCACCAAAGUCAUAGCUUGGAAAUCAACAGAAUGAUAGGGUUGCCGUCCAAAUUCUCUUAUAAGUUAAAAAGUUCGACAUAAAAAUGAGAGAGCUCAGGCCAGAAGCGCAGAAAUUGUAACUGUUGGUGCUAUAUUUGAUUCAGCUGACAGUGCCAUGUCUGAUCCAGCAGCGAUUCGAAAUAAAAAUGUCGCGUUUCUUUUGCUAACAUAUAAUUCUCUCUAAGCGUAGAAGACAAAGUAAGAAACGUUGCAAGAAGAAACAGUAACAUACUACUUGAAUUGCAGCAAUUCAAGGAUUCUUGGAAGUAUGGUGAAUCAUGUAUCAGGAUAUUUUUCAGCU